rnacentral:lncRNA from 1 species
CUAAGUGUGUUAACCAUUAAAUAUAAUACAGAGACAGCUUGAUGAAUCAAACAAUAAGAACUGGUACAAUGAAGUCAAACAAUUAUCAGCAAGGUCCAUUGCAAGUUUGGCUGUCCAAAGCUACAAAAUCAUUGCACUAAGAGAUACAUGUCUACGUGGCUUGUUUUCUUUCUAAAUAACUAAUAUUUGAGAGGUAAUAUGACAUUAUGACAUUUCAAACUAUACUAAUACACCUGCAAACAAAGUUACUUUCCAGCCAUAAAAAAUAUGCACAUAGUAGUUGUACAGUAUGGUGUCAAAAUUUGUUGAUGGGCAGAGAGAUCUAGCGCUGAGGAACAUACUAGCUACAUCAUGUUUCCAGCUUCUGUAUUAAUUCAUGGCACCCAGUUCCCAUCUUCACUGGCAAACCAAGACAAAUUCUAGCAGAAGGAGAAUCCAAAUUGUCCACCUGCCCGUGACAAGCUGCUUCAACAAUGAAAUUUGAUGCUGUCUCGAAGCAUAUUUUGAGGAACGGGGAUGUAGAAUCUGCUAUGCUCCCCUUUCUGCUCAUAGGGCGAUAGCAACCGGAGUGUGUCAUAAAGUCAGCAAUAAGCAUCAAGUGUCGGAUAUUUACCGAUAUUCCAUAAGACUUGAAAACGUUUUGUACUUCCCUGAUGAUGGUUUCUUUGGCUGCUUCCACCCCGUAAGUGCUUAGAAUAGCAUGCACGUUGUUUGAAUAAACAUACCUAACAUUAAGAUCAUCUUGCAUCUCCCAAAAUGAUUUAAAAUGUAUGCCAGAUGUUUGAAGUGCUGGUAUUUUCUCUUUCACUGAUGAGGGAAUUUCUUCUCUUUUACUAUCAUCUUCACCAUAGUAGAUUACACCACUUUCUUUACAUGUAAUAGCUUUACAUUGACCAACUUUUCCAAAGUUCUGGAUACAAACCUUCUCAGCUGUUUUCUGAGCAAUCUGCAAAAAGAUAAUUUGAAAUAAGUGAGUUCUAUAUGUAAAGCAAGGACCAAAAUAGAAAAUUGAACUACAUAGUCGUAGCAAAUAGAAAUCCAUGCUCAACCUACAUUUUUGGAGUCGGGUUAUUUAAAAAGAAGUUCACUACUAAACAGAAAAUGAUUUGCAGUAGAAAGUAACUGAGCCAACAAUAUGUGAGGUUCAUCCGUAAAUUUAAAGUGGAUCUCAAAAUGCCUCUUCUCAAAUUUUACAUAGACUCUCCUGUCAAAUUUUUUGCUCACAGGUUGAGAUUUCGAAUUUUCUUCAGGUCCUUGAGAGUAAUUGACACCAAGUGUCACCUUUUUAUCAUUCUCAUUAACUUCAAUAUCACUGCCAUCCUCAUCACCUUUUCCAUCCUCAUCAUCUUUGCCAUCCCCAUCAUCUUUUACAUGCUCAUUAUCUUUGGCAUCCUCAACACCUUCCAAGUCCUCUGACAGCUCACCAUCUUCAAGUGUUUCCUCUUCAGGACCAUCAUCGUAAUCAACGUCAUCCACAACUUGUCGCUUACUCUUUUGAGCAUCUAAACCGAGAUCUUCAGCCCCCUCUGUGUCGUCAGCAUCACCGUCAUCAUCAUCAUCAUCAUCAUCAUUAGUUUUACCAUUGCUAGGAUCAUCUUCUGCACCGUUUGAAGAAUUUGGUUGUGCAUCUGUCUUAAAGUUUGUUAUGCCACUAAUUUUAGCCAGCAGUGCAAUGUUGUUUUCUAUUGCAUCCUCCAACCCUCUCACAAAGGAAACUCUAAGAGUUUCUUCCCAGUCUUUAAGCGUAACAUCGGUGUAUUUUGGAUAGUGUUUAGGUUUAUGCAGCUUCAUCAUAAGCUUAUAUAUACUGCAAAUGCGACCAUCUUGAACAGUUACUGGUACAACAGAAACUUUCAUACUCUCAAUUAUGUCAGCUACAGUAAUCUUUUUCAUUUUGUCAGCAAGGCGAAUAGCAUCUUCCCUGUAAACAGAAAACUCGUCAAAAUUUCUGCUGCUAUGUAGAAAUAACAAGUUUACAGAAAAAGUAAUGCACAAACACCAAAAAAAAAGACAUUGGAGACCAAGAACAAUGUCAGCAUCUCACAUAGAUUUAUUUGGUCUCAGGGGGCAUGUCAUAAAGGGAGUCUUGAUGUGAGCAGAGGCUGCCGUCAGGAUCUCUUGCAAACGUGGAAUUCCAAGAGUCACAUUCAUUUCACCUCGACCAGCAAGGUGGAAAGUAUUCAAACUGAGUACAAAAUGAAAAGAGGAAGCCAAAACAGUUACUCAGCCACACAAAAAUCACUUUUAAAUUUAACAAAAUAAUGAAGGAAAACAAACAGAUAUGCAAUCCUAACCCUACUAGCUUCUAUAAAAGGCACAAAUUUCAUAUAUAUACAAAUCUUCUUUUGCAAUUAUUGAGAAUUUAAUGGCCAUCAAACACAAUUUUACCCAUUUCGAACUAUUAAAAUUUAUUGUUUAGCUUGUUUCAUUUAGUUCUUUCCAAAUUGUCACAACAAAAGAAUAGCAGGCUCAACAAGAAGAGGCAAUAUCAUCUCCAGAGGUUGUUAUAGUUGUACAUGAUCAUAAGAAAGUUGAUAUAAAAUAGCACCAAUUGUUCAAUGACACCGAGUGAUUGGAGUCGGAGCAGAGGGCAUGGUAAUGCUCCAAUUUAAUAAACAAGUAUUCCCUUAGUCAGGUUCUUGGGACAAAACCUAUUUGAACUAGGUCUCUACCGAACAUGGUAAUGCACAUAGUAGUACUGAGUGAAGAAACAUAAGCAUGUUUAGUUGUCACUAAGUUAGAUCAACAAAUAUAAUUUACUCAAAUGUCAAAGGCACAGCUAUUUAAGGUUUUAGUGACCUUGUGAAAAUACUAAAUCUCAAGUGGUUUAAGUGUACCGUCAACUACUAUUUAUUAGUUAAAUGACCUCUAUUUCCCAUAAAUGAUUUGCUAAAGCUUUUCGUGAAGCAUAUAUGUUCCUAGACAAUUAAACCUCAAGAUGAAAUAUCAACUUAAAAUAUUGUGCUUAUCUGUAGCAGCUAUAUUGUUUCCAGUGAUCAUAAAAGACUGGGAUCACAAUUUAAUUAUUCAUGUUUUUUCAUGAAACAGAUUGAUCAAAAAGACAUCUUAUGGUUACAUGCUAUGUACAGAGAAAACAAGGACAAAAUCUAUGACGAUUUAAAUAACUUACGUCAUCUGAGUUGCAGGUUCACCAACAGACUGAGAAGCUAACACACCAACUGGCUCACCUGGUUGAGCAAGACUUGAGACAUACUUGUGUUCCAUCAACUGCAGGAAAUUCGUGUGUGUCAUUGAACCAGAAUUUCUUUGUUUUGAAGAGGAAUCCCGAAUGAAUUUUUCUGCUUUUCCUUUAAGAGCAUCAGGCAAUUUGUUAAUAUAUGGACUGGAUUCAUCUAGCUCACGGCAACAGUUGCUGUAAACCAACUCUUUGUUCUGAAAAUAAAUAAUACAAAAAUACAUAAACUAUGAAUACAAUAUCUAAAUGUAAUAUAUUUAUGGCUUUAUUAAAAAUAUUAAACAAGUUCUUACAGUUGACAAUGCUUCAAAUUUAUUGAUAAAGCUAGUUUGAUGAACAUCCACACCAUCUUCUCCAUAGUGAAACUGAAUAAUUGAACCAUCAGCAUCACGGACAGUAUGAUCAUAACAAACUUUAAGGCACUCGAGGUUUUUCAUUAAACAUCUUUGCAGGUAACCACUUCUAGAUGUUUUGACUGCAGUGUCAACUAACCUGUGAAGAAAAUAUGUCAUUUAACUUGUGAUUUGGGGAAGAAGACGUGAUGUGGAGUAAGCUUUCAACAGCUAUAUACCACAUCACCAAGAUUUAACACCAUUUACCACUAACUUAAAGGAAGGGGCCAAGUUGCCUUAACAUAUGUAAGUUAAGGGACCAAAGUGACCAGUUGUAAAGUAAACUGAACUUUUAAAAUAAGUUAAGGGACCAAAAGGGCAUUUAAGCCCCACUAUUUAGUAUUAGGUGCCAUUAUGCCUUUUAGAUUUUAAAUAGAUACAAUACACAAACAAUUAAUAGCAUAUUGAUUCGUAAUCCUGAAGCUUUUAUCUUACCCUUCUCGACCAGCCAUACAAUGAAAGUAAUAUUCCUGUGGACGAAGAGCUGUAAGAAACCGAUCAAUAAUGAAUCCUCCUGCUCUGGGAGAACAAUCCCAUGAUGUAAAGCAUGGUAAGGUCUUUCCAGAAACCAUACGUGGGACUCGUUUUCCUUCCAACUCUUGCUGGCCAAGAUGAGAAGAUAUCUGCUGGAAAUUGACCUGUUCAAAAGCAUAUGAAAUCAUCUUCAUUUCACUAAAUAUCAUCAACUUAAAUGACUAAUAUCGAUUGGAAAAGAUGAAAAUGGACUUAGGAUAGUGAUUCAAAAACAACAUGGAAAACAGUAUGUAUUAUACCAUAAAACUAUAAACCAAUUGUCAGACUAGUUAUUAAUGUAUUAUGUCUGGUUAAUAAAAGAAUCUAUCAAAACAUAUUGAAAAAAAACUUAUUUUACCAAACUUUUUAAUACCACAAGAAACUAUACGAAUAGUCCAACAUCCUUGAAUUUUUACUCUAUAGUAUCCACUAAAAAAAACCAUUAGCUCAAUUAAAAAGAAAUUGAUUUCCACUUGAAAGAAGUCAAAAUGCCCAAACUAAGCUAACAAAACCUUCUUAAAGACAUGGAGCAAUGAACCAACCAUAUCUGUAGUUGCCCCCUUAUACGCCAUUUUUACGAAAAAGAUUGAUAGCUCAUAAUUGAGAAAAAAAUUGAUGUUUCAUAAUUUUAGAUAACAUCUGAAUACUCUUCAAUAGGAUUUUCCAUCUCAUAAAGCACCAAAUAAUAGAUUUUACCUAGGUCCUCAGACAAAAUGUUACUUCAAACAAGUGUUGUGUGAAAGAGACUUGAGCACUCAAAUAUUUAAAGGAGACUCUUUUGUUUCUAACAGAGCACACACAGUGUGUAGUAUAGUACAUUGUAUCCUUAUACACAAACAGUUAAAUAGAGUGAUGAAGAUGCAACAGUACACUUACCAUACUGCCCUUAGCUCCAGAUGUAGUCAUAAGAGAAAUCCAAUUUUUUCCUGAGGGUUUUAAUAUUCCUUCAGAUAGUAGCUCCUUCAAUACCCCAGAGCUUGUUCUGGAGUUAAGAUUACUUAUCAUCUUCCUAUCUAAGUAUGUUAUGGCUGCUUCUCCGUUACUGCGUAUUUUUUUCUCAACAUUCAACUGCAUCGUGAUUGGAUCUGAAAUACCAAAUAUGCCAACACAUCAUAAUUUUACACAAAAAACUAAACAAUAAUAAGAAAAUGGCAAGUACGAAUUGGAUGCUUGUCUCGCAGUAAGAUAAUACUUGAAUACAAAAUUUCAUUUGGUUAGGGAAAUGCUUUUAUCCAAAAUAUGAUUCAUAAAGCAUGUCACUAUGUGUACGUGCAGAUGUUCUUUUACAUUACAGUAGGAUGAAACACAUACACCAAUCUGUCAUAACAUGUUGGACUGUGUUCCUACUAGUUUCCAUUCCCAGGACAAACACUAAUCUAAUAUUAACUAAGCCCAUCAGAGAUCACUAAAAUAGGAUGAGAAUAAAUUGAAUAAUGAAACCAUGUCACGGCAGUAGAUGUUUUCUUCCAUCCACAUUUUGGAAGACAUGUUUGAUUCUAAGUGGUAACAAACCCCCUAUACUUAUACGAGAACCCAAAAUUUUGUGCCUUACCAAACCAUGGUACAAAAAGUUGUCCAUAGACAAGCUAUUAAAAAGACAAAAAUAUCUUUACCUAAUUAUUAUAUAUUCUCUUUCCUCUCUCCCUCCACUCUCUCCGCCCCUCAAUCUCUCUCCCUUACAGAGGUAACCAUACAUAAGUCCACAUUUCAAGCAAAAAUGCCCCCAGCUAUUCAUGAAGAUACACCAAAUUUAGUAAAUAUUUAGCGCAUGAGAACUAUAUAAUAAGCAUAUAUGCAUUAACUAGUUUUCUGAAGCUUAACUAAGAAGCUGAUUGAUAUCAUUUUAAACCCGCGUAUCCAACCGCCCUUUAUUCUUAUUUAGAAGCGACGUCCAUCAAAACCUUGUGGCCAUAAAAGUCGCUAUAGGAACCACCUUAACAUAAUCCUAAACACACGAAUUAUCUACUCUUUUCAAUGUUGCAUCAUGGUCAUAGAAAUAUACUUUUGCUGUAUCUUCUGUAACAGACAACCCUUUUUAAACACAAACACCUGCAUCAAUCUAUGCUCGCAAUAACAAAGGUCUAAUUCAGUUUGUUUCAAAGAGAAAUAUUCUGUGGGGCUCUAGAAACAAUUGGCAAGAAGAAGUAAAUGCAAGAAAGUCUAGAACAAUAUCGGAAGCCAGUUGUGCAGAAAGAAUUUCACUAUAAUAAAGGGUAAGUAAAUUUACAUAGUAAUCCAGAAAUUAACCAAAUUAGUGACAUAAAUGGUAUCACAUCUGGAAAUGGAACAUUAUUUUAAAAUCCUGUAAUUAGAAAUAAUUAAUAGUACUUCACAUUACCUAUAUUAUCACCCUCCAUGACUCCAAUGAAUUCACGAUGAACAAUGUCACCAAUUUCCUCACAGCUUUCAAGUUGAUUUGUUCUUUCACUAUCCUUUCCUUCUGUUAACAGAAGAUCAUCAACCCCACAUGUGAACCCAUGCAUCUGAAUGACAAAAUAUAUCAGAAUCUUGCAGGAUAAUUAAAUCCUAAAAAAUAUGUCAUAUUUGCCAAACUAGAGAAAUAGUGACUAACCUGUAAAAAGUUUGUGAAUAACCUACUUAAUGCCGAAAGUAGAAAGCCAGCAGUAUUUGAGCCGUAAAACUCUUGCACUGUAUGCACAAUUCCAUAAUCUCCAAAUUGAGCCUUAUCAACUACACCACGCACCAAAUCAUUUUUGUAAAUCAACAAUUUAUCCUCAUCGGGCUCAUCCUUUUUUAUUGAUGUAUCUUUAGUACGUUUUUUUCCCUCCCUCAUUCGAGUCUUAAAAAAACUAGAUGGGAUUUUUGCAUUCUUCUCAACAGUAAAUGGUGGGGAACCUUUAGUGAUAUAGUAUAGCAAUGCACUGAUAACCUAGACAGAAAUAGAACAAAAAAUUACUUUAUACAACGAUAAUGGCAUGUAAAACAAAGAACAGAAUAUACACAAGUAGGAAAAUUAGAGACAAGUGCAAAAAAUGUAUAGUAACCUGUUUCCCUGUCCACAAUGGCUCUGGCUUGAAUAUUGCCGGAGGAAACAGAAACAUUUCACUAUCAGAGUUUGACAUGAAAAUUUUCUGUCCUGGUUUGCCAGGGAAAGGGCCCAUCCCAGUCAUUGAUACACCAGAACUGUAGAGAAGUUGAUUGAACUCUUCACAGCUCAAAAAGGUAUCUUUUUUUGUGAGAAGAGCAGCACUUACAAUAUGAUCCUGGAAAAUACAUUUGAAAUUGGAAAAAUAAACUUCAGAAACUCACCCCAAAACAAAUCAUCUAUUUAAUAAGAAAACUCAGUUUUUAUCAGCCAAGUGUCACACUCUUAUUGUUUGCAAGCAUUAAGCGUCACACUGUUGCGUUUGUUUUCUCUCCGUUUAUUUAUUUUUGUCCUGACCACGUGCAGCACAGGCAACCUCUGCUAUAUAGAAAUAAAGCUCAUUAACUAUUUAUUCAAAUAGGAGAGGCCUGCUUCUGAACUAGUGGUCAUGGCUCUACUUGGGAUUUGGGAAAACAACCUCAGUUCCCUUGUGUUAACCUGUAUGCAUCUGAUUCUCUCUUGACCCCCAUUAUAUCGAAAUCCCAAUGCAGUAACCAGUCCUUUUUUAAUUAUGUAUGUUAAUACCUGAAUCAAGGCUCUGAUUGGAUCACCACUUGUAGGCUUCACAUAUUGGUUGUUGGCAUUUACAAUAUUGUAAGCUUCAGCACGUGAAAUUUCAUCUUGAGGAAAAUGAACAUUAAUCUCAUCACCAUCAAAGUCAGCAUUGUAUGUACUGAGAUGACAACAAAAGAAAGAGGUAAUUGACUUUAGCAACCAAGAUAGGCAAAGAUGUUAUUCAUAUUAAUACACAAAAAUAAGUUCUCAAGAUAUAGUCAAAUGUAUUAAUACAUAGAUAGUUACAUAUUUAUACUGCAAUUGGACAAAGCUCAGAGAAAUGAUUAAUAUGUUACCUGCAGUUCGCAUAAUGCAUGCGUACUGUUUUCUCUCCCUUUAGAACACGAACUACAUGUGCCAUUAUACUAGGUUUAUGAAGUGUGGGCUGCAAUAGAAUGCAAUGUCCAAUUCAAAAAACAAUAAGGUACUAAAAAUGGCCAUGUUCAUAUCACACAUACUCAGCAAUAGAUGUGAACAGUCAAUCAACAUAGUUGCAUCAUUCUAUUGUCAUAUACAGAGUUAUUGUCAUUUUUUGUUCUUUUAAAAAGGGAAAAAAAACCAAAGGAAUAGAAGACAAUGCAAUAUUGAUUAUUAUAUUAUUAAAAGUUUAAAACACAUCAAAUGAGAUCAUGCAUUACCUGUCGGUUGACAAGCACUACAUCACCAUCUUUCAAGUGACGAUACACAACUUUUCCUUCAAAUUCAUUGUCAUGUAUCUUCCCAUUAUGCAUGAUAACCCCUCUUGAGGAUUGUAAUCUCCUUGAUGUCAGAGAACGUGACCUCCUAUCUAGUGGAAGCUUGAGUGUUGAUGUUUUAUCAGCAUAGAGGGUAGCACCAGGAUGGGUUUCAGGACCAUUUAGGAUAGCAUUCCUUAAUUCAACUACAUUCCAAGGAGUCACUCUCUGCAAUAUAUUAACAAAAAAGCCAAUGGCAAGAAUCAAAAUAUCAUUCAAAGCAUUCUCAUGAUGUUUUAUACCAAACCUAAUAAUAUUCCACUCCAUGCAAAGUCCAAGACACAAUUAUUAUAUUACAAAAUGCCAGCAUCAUUGGUUUGUCGACAUGUUAAAUUUAAUAAUUACAUAUUGUUUCACUUCAUUAUAGAGUAAUAUCCCAAUCUACGGUUCUAAUGCUCAGGAACAAUAAAGUGAUCAAAAUUUGGCUGCAGCAUGCAAAUUCUUAACCAGAUGAAUAAGAAUGCUUUAAUUUCAGUUUCAAUUCCUUAUCUUCUUUAACUUAUACAUACAGGCUGUACCAUGGGAAAAGAUGGUUCAUCUAUCUAGGACCAUAAGACUUAUUGAAGAAGAUAAUGAAGUAAUCAAAAGCACAAUACCAAAAUAUUUGCUACUAUUAACAGCAUAACAGACACAAAUAAUAGAUAUGCAUAUUGACUAUAUGUAGUUACAUCUCUCACCUCAGGAUAUGUUAACCUCAGAGCAAAAUAUGGGGGAAUCCCAAUUUCAUUGACUGCCAAAUAAGGAUCUGGUGAAAUGACAGAGCGGCAUGCAUAAUUAACUCUCUUUCCCAUCAUUUUCUGGCGAAAGAUGCCUUCCUUCUUUUCCAGCAACUGACAUAUUCCAGUAACCAAGUCUUUUUGGCCUAUGCCAAGCAAAAAAUAUUUCUAUGUAGGUAAGAACUAUAAGCAAAAAAUCUGAAAUAGCUACAAAAUAACAUGCUUAUCUAGUGAUCGACAAACUCAUCAUAUGGAAUUGAAAUUUUGUUUUAAAAAAUGUUAUUAACUAUUGGUUUCUUGAUCUUCGACAAUUACUUUGCAUUUUACUUCAUGUAAUUAUUUGUUCCUCCUUCAUUACAAUAAUUGUUCUUUUAUCAAAACACAAACAAAGAGAUCCCUUUGCAAGCAUUGGUAUUACAUAUAAAAUCAUGUAUACGUCCAUUUGGUGCAUUUGUUUUUUUGCUAAUUGAAUUUGGACAACUUUUUACCACUGACCAAUUACAAGCAAACAUAAAUACACCCAACUCCAUAUGUUCCUAUCCCAAAUAAUGAAAACAAAGUGAACCAAAUGAAACUCUCACCAGAAGCAGUUUUAUUGUCAAAUAGGAGGUUUACAGAUCGCUGAAGAUCCAUCCACCGCCUUAGAACCACUGAUGCAUCUGACUUGUUUAAAUGGGCCUGUCCCAAGGAUAUGUUGGACUCUAAAACCCUAGUCAACAAAACAGUUUGAGCAUGCUCCGACACCUACAAAAGACAUUGAACAAGUAAAUUAAGCACAUGUAGGAUGAUAAUGACAAAUUCUAUGGUGUACAAACCCAUCAUAUGGUCAGUACACCAAACUGAUUAUUGUAAUAUAGAAAAUAAGUAUAGAGGGAAUACAAAAGAAUGAAACUCAUUAAUGAAGCUCUGAAUUGUUCUAAAUAUGUAAUUUGUACUCCCUAUUCCUUUUUACUCAUCACUUUUGUAGACAAAGUUUAUUCCUAUUUACUUGUCUUUUUCAAAAUUCAAUGCAACAUUAACUAUUACUUAGUCAAUAACAACCUUAACUAUUUAAUGCAGAUAGAGAAACAGUAGAAUGCGAUAGUAUAUAGUUAAAAAGACAAACAAACAAUUUCAUCAAAAGAAACAAAAUUUAUUAGUUUUCUUUGUAUGUGUAAAUAACCUUAAAACAAAAACUAAAAAGGAACAGAGGAAGUAAUUCGUAAUACAAGUAAUGAGAUUAUACAAAAAAACUAACACCAACUACUGCAUAUAUACUAAAACAAUGGUAUAGAAGACAACAAUACUCUUUACAUGGUAUACUACUAUUCUAAAAGUUAUUAUUGCUUGAUAACAAUAGCUUCCAUAUAUAUUAAUAUUUUAUAUUUUUCAACAAUAAAUUAUAGUAUCAAACGAUAAGAAAUGAUGCAAUGAAUAAAAACACCAAUAGCGGCGCGGAGCGCCCAACCCCAAAAAUGGGAUAACGAGAUUGCGGAUAGCGGGAUGAGCGCUAUUGUGAAGACCAAAAGCAAUAUAUAGACUAAACAUAAAAUACAAACAGUAGACAAACAUACUAAAAAUAGCAAAAAUAAAGGGGUAAUCAUAGUGCUUCAUAUUUCAUAACCAAAAUGGCCAAAAAUAGAAGUAUAUGGACGAAGAAGAAAAUAGAAGUAUAUUAACAAAGAAGAAAACAGAGGAACGAUCACAGCAGUUAUGUUUUGGAUUUAAAAUAAUAAUGUGAAGGAGGAGAAAGGUCAAUAAAUAAUAAAAUAAUAGGGUUUUGAGUGCAAAAAGACUCAAAUACCCUUAAUGAAAAUUAAAAAAAUUCAACAAACCCUAAAAAAACAAACUAGCGGGUCAUGGACCCCGGGUAAGGCGCAACACGUUGGCACGUUUGAGCGCUUUUCGCGGCCGCAAUUGCCGCAGCGGGUGACGGCGGUUUCACAGUGAGGGGCACUGCGGAGAUGGCCUCCACAACGCAAUUCCGCAAUUGACAACAUAGGUAACAGUUCCAACAGAAUAAAACAUAUUUUCAAUAGUUGAAGAAAUUAAAAAGGGAAAGGAAAUAAAAUUAAAAUAAUAAAUAUGAAAAUACACAUUAAACUUCAUCUAUACAAAAAAAGAGAUAUCUGCCUCAUAGUAUUACAUGGCUUCCCAACACUUGUAGAAAUUUAUAAAUUCAAGUCAACAGUGUCAUAUUUUUUUUGGUCAUACUUACUUUAUCAUCUCCUUUAGUUGGGGGACGGAAUUUGAUUGGUGGAACGUAAAUGUUCUCUAGAAAGAACAUUGAGUGACCGGCUUUCUUUCCAAUACCUAGACCUUGAAUGUCACUGAUAUACAAGCACAGUCGAGCAUCAUUUUCCCACAAAAGCUCUAGAAUUCUCUGAACCUAUAAUUUGGAAAGAAUUAAAUGAAAUGCUCCAUUAACUUUAACUUAGAAAACAAAAGGGUUAUAAACCCAGUCAUUAAGCCAGCAUUUUAAAGAAACUAACCUGGGACGGUAGCAAAGACCCAGCGAGUGUAUGAGACGAUAUUUGUUUUUCUUUAUUAUGCCUUUUUGCAUUACUAUUUGCAAUAUCACCAGAGGUAAUAUCCUCUACAUCUGUAGUAUCCCCAUUUCCUAAAGAUAUAUCAUCAUGGAUUAUUUCGCUUGCCAAGGAUACAUCAUUGCCUGAAAUAACAUUUGCUCUGGCUUGAGCAGCUGAGAGAGCUUUCUAGAGAAGUGGAAUGAAAAGAAAAGAAAACAAGGAAUUAGACAUUGCAGCAAUGAAUACCAACAAGCUUGAAACUAUAGCAUGACAUUGUAUCUUGUGGUCAUGUACACUUCUUACGCAAAUGCAAAAUCCACAAUAGAUUUAAGGACUUCGCAGUAUUCCAGUUUCAAAUUCCUCAUAUUCAAAACCCAUAUUUAACAAAUAGUCACAGUGACACAGAUGACUAACUUAACUUUUUCUUCACACUUGAAAAUUGGAACUAUCAAAAACAUGUACAAAAGAAAUAGCAUCAAUAGUGCAUAUUAAAUACAAUAGUAAGCAACAAAACAUAAUCAAUGUCACACAUACGCAUAGAGGGAGAGACAGCAGAUUAAAAGAUGCUUAUUCCUAGGUUUGGUAUAGCACACACAUCAAAGUAUCAAACAGUGUCAGAAUUUAAUUAAAAUUGAGAGGAUCAUAGUGUGUCUGUUCUGUUCACAACAUAUUCAAAUACUGCAGCAAUCACAAAAGAAUCAAAGUAUGGAGAGAAUAAAAUAUUUUACCACGUGAAACCAUCCAAAGGUUGGUAUAGUGAUUUUAGGAUUGAUAUAUCCACAAUUUUGACACUUCCUGUAUUCCUUUUUUAGAAACUUCCUUAAAACAGACAUUGCCUCACUAAAUUGAAGGGACGUCCAAUUUUCUCCCAGUUGCUCAGCACUACUACAUUGGCUGUCAUCACCAUCACAUAAAUCUGCGGAUUCAUCUAGGUUAAUUUCAUCCAAAUUUUUUGCCUUGGCAAUAUUCCCUUUCAUAAUAAGCUCUAACUGGUUUGCACGCAACUCCACCUUGAAUCAUCAUGAGAUCAUAUGAACAACGGUCAAGAAAUGCACAUAUAUCUUACGGAAAUAACAUAAACAGAGAAAGAAUAAAUAAAAUUACCAAAUCAGCAUAUAUUUACCUCCUUUCUGCUAGCCUGAAAAUGAUGGCACGAGAAACACGUUCUUCGUAGAACAUUGCUAAGCAUAGAAAACAUCAAAGGGUUGUAGGCAGGAGAAACAAGCUCAAUAUGACCAAAAUGCCCUGGGCAAUGAUAAGAGUUUUGACCACAAGAUUGACAACUGCAUCAAGCAAAAGAUUUGUGUCAGAUUCCUAUCCCAUAAUAAAACUGCAUAACAUAAAUACAACUUGCAAAGCAUAUAUAGCAUAUAUAGAAAACAAUAACAAAUUCAUAAGGCACCCGUCCUCCUUAAAAACGGCCUAAGAAGAUAACCACAUACGCACACGUUACUAAAACAUAAAACUAAAUUGAAAAGUAGUAGAAGAGAAACAUACGGAGAUUUCUCAUGAAAAGGACCUAAGGCAGGAUCAUACAAUCCACCAGCAACAGGUGAAUGGAGCGUAUCAAGAAGAAUGGGAUUGGUUAUCUUGACGCGACUACUCUUAAGUAUUUCUUCGUCCGUUAGAAAACUGAAUGCCACAGCCUUCACGCUAUUCGUUGCGCCCUGCAAUUCAAUGAUGAUAAUAAGCAAUCAAAAACGACGACGUAGUAGUAGAGGAUGACGAAGUAAGGUUUGAAUUGAUGCAUGGUAAAUAUAAAUACCUCAGUAGCGAGAGCCAUGUUGGUGUUAUGGCUAAGCGGGAACGAGGCUGGGGGACAGAAAGAGUGAAGUUCAACGGUUGGGGCGGGAGAGAGACGCAAGACAAAGAGUGAAGUUCUUUGGAGUUUCUGACUUAUGAGUUUUUAAUAUAUAAAUAGAGGUGGACAAUGGGCCGGGUAUGACGGAUUUGGGCCCAAUGUAGAAGCCCGGUUCCGCCCUUUUUGUCCAACGGGUUACACGGUUUGCGUUGCGUGGAUAGCAGAUAUCUUUUGUUUAUCAAAUUUCAUACUAGAUUUACUUCGGUGUGUUUGCGCUUUUCACCAUUGCAAGACCUUUGUCCACUCCUAAUUACAGACUUACAGUGAUAUAAAGAAUUAAGUUUUUUUAUUUAUUAAAAAAAUAUUAAAUUUUAUAUAAAACUAUUUUAUUUUUGUUAUAUAUAAACAUAGAUAUUUAUUUUCAAAUUAUUAAAAUUUUGGUAGAUAAAUAAGAAAGAACACGUAGCUAUAAAAAUAUUACUUUAUAUAUAUAUAUAUAUACUGGGCAUAUUUUUCAAAAAAUAUAAAACUAGAUAUAUUACACUAGUUUCAGUAAAAAAGAGGUAUGAUACUGAUUAACGGUGCAUUGCGCAAGUUUGGUUAGAGUACAUACUUGAAAUGUUUUAUAAAUGAGAAAUAAUAGUUUUAGAAGUAUUAUUACAUAUGGUAUAGUUCAAUAAUUUAACAUGUCUUAAAAUAUGGUGAUAUUUAAUCUAAAUUAAAAAUUAUUAAACAUUGUUUAAAAGUUAUACUUUUCAAUAAGUUUAAAAAAUACAUCAUAUUUUACCCUAAUAGCGUAUAUAAGAAUUGUUAACGAAUUUCACAUAUCAUCUUAACAUUUUAUAUUUUUUCUGUUGAUUUAAAACUUUAAUAGUCAUAACUCUUUUGUAUUAUAAUUGUUUUUUACUCAAAUAACAUAGUUUUCAUUAGUAGUCAUGCAACAUGCAACCAAUAAAAAAAAUAAAAUAAUAAUAUUUAGAUUAAAAUGUAUUUUUUAUCUUCUAAUUUUUUAAUUGUGCAUUUUUAGUCCAAUUGAAAGAUUUUAGUCCCUCACGUUUACUUUAUUUUUUAGUCCAAUUGACAUGGCUUUUUUAUUUGACGUGUUUCACUCCUAUUGGCCAAAGUGAAUAUUUAAAAAAAUUAUUUAAAAAAGUUAUUUAAAAAAAAUGAGUAUUAUUAUUGUCACGUGACUUGUUAUAUAAAUCAAAUUAAAAUUACAAUUUCAAAACUAAAAACCCUAAUUUCAUUCAGAAAAUUGAGAUGACGAAGACAAAGGACGAAUACGAAGACUCUCACCAUGCUAGAUAAAGACAAAGACGAAGGAGAAAGAAAAUGAUGAGUUAGAAUUACGUAUUAGGAUUCAGAAAUUGGAAAAAUUGGUGGUAGUUGAAUUCAAUUGAGACAAUCAGAAAGCGAAGAAGAGUAGCGGCAAAGAUGAAGGUAUAAAUGGCGGCGCUCAUGAUUCUUAAAGCAUGGCGAAGAACGAUGGAGUCUUUAAUGGACGACAAUGAAAGAAACAAUGGAGUUUGCAUGUGAUGCUUCAAAUCCUUAUGCAAAUGCUUCAAAAUCUACUAUUGUAGGUUUACAACUUUUGGAGCAACUGCGUGUAUUCACGACCCCCACCAUUCUUUUGCGUAUAAUCUAAAGAAGAAAAAAAACCAAUAAAAUAAAGAAAAAGAUCAAAAUAUGUUGUUGAAUGACCAGUAGAAGAUGAAAUCAUGAUACAAUGAGAAAGAUGAAGGAAUAAAGAAGAAAGAAAGAUGAAGACACUAGGAAAAGUUGAACAAAUAAUGAAGAAAUAAGAAAAAGUAGAAGAAAUGAAUAUUACUGUUUAAAGGGAUGAGAAGAUGGUCACGUUUUAAUUCCUUUUUUUCGUUUAAACAAUUUUUUAAAAUGAAAAUAUUUCCACAACAGCGAAAUGAGUCAAAAUCUAGUUGGGGCUAAAAAAUCACAAAGGAGUAAAUAUAAGGGGCCAAAAUCACUCAAUUGAAUAUAGGAGGUAAAAAAUCGCACAAUUAGAAAAUUAGGGAGUCAAAAGUGCAUUUAAACCUAAUAGUUACCUAAUUCCAGUAAAAGUGAUGGUGGUUAACAAUGAGUUAGUGAAAACUUUAGUUCAAUGAUAAAAAUUGCAUUAAGAGUAAUAAUGACAAAUAAAAAAAUAUAAAAUCCUUAUAUUAAUAUCAAGAACAUAAAAUAAAUGUAGCAGCAAACCACCCAAAAUGAAGUAUUUGAUGUUGCCUUCAUCAUUAUUAUCCUAAGGAUGUUUUUUUUUCCUAAACCUUCAUGAAUAUCUAUCAUUGAAUCUUCACAUUGGGUUUUUUUCUUUCUAUAUACUUUUGUAGAUGGUCUUUUCAUAUCAGCUUUUCGAUAUGAAUUUUUAGUCAUUACCAAUCAUUGGUAGAGUAUCCAUGCAUUUUGUGGUAUUUAUAAUAUAAUCUACUGUUUGGAUCAAGCUUUAACUCUCUUUAUCGAGGUAGGUUGAUUAGAUUGGAAUCAUAUGCAUAUCGUAAAAUUAUUUUAAGCCUAUUUAUUCGUGGAGUGAAGCAGGUGAAGUACUCAUUACUUCUAUCUUUUACUCGAUCACUUCGUCCACCACUUGGAUCUUUAUCAUUGUGAGGAUACCAUUUGUAAUCCAUUUUUUUCCUUCUUGCAACUACUUUUUCCAUAACUAUGUACCCAUCCACUCUUCUUCUAAGUUUGUCAAGUGUCUCAAAAGGUCUCCAUGCUAGCAAAUUAAAUAAGGUAUUGACUUCAAGAGGGGAUCCAUCUUCAGGGUACGCGAGAAGACAAUGCAUCAAACGCUUAUUGAGUUUUCAUCCCAUCGUUAAAAGAAGUGAAAUGCUCAUAUAGGUUUAUAUUCUCGUCAUAUUCUUCCAUGGCUGAGAGGCAGAAUCAUAUGGGUAUUGGUUCUGUAUUGAUUUCGUUCGUGAAUAGGAGUUAUGUUACGUCUUCCUUCUUUCGCCUUUUUAUAUAUAGAGUACCUCGAGAAGAUGCUUCACUUUCUGACUCUGAUGUAGCAACAUUGUCAUAGUUGUCAUCUUCUAUUGAUGAAGUUUUCUACUACGUUUAACAAUCUUCAAUCAACACUACCUUAUUUUUGAGUCUCAUGAUUUGGGCUUCUAUCUUGUCCAUUAUAUCUUAUGUUCUUCACUCAUUUGGACUUCGACAUGGGGAUGAUGAUGAGUCUUAACGUUUGGACCUUUCAAUGUUGUUACCUCACAAUAAGAAGGAGUGUUGGUGUGGUGAGGUUCCAUCUUCAUUAGGUUGUCUCAUAAAUGGGGAGUUCGGAUAUUUGGGUCCUUCAUUUUGAAUGUUGGACUUAUGGAUUUAUUGACUUAGUUCUCCUUGAGAUGGCUCUAUGAGAGCCCUGCUUUUGGUGAUUCUCAUGCUAGUGGAAUAUUGUGGGCUGCAAAAAAGGCCCCACGGCAAGUGUCAAUGUUAUUGUAUGAAACACGAGGUGGAUCACCAUUGUAGGUGAUGUGGUCUUAAAGCUAUUGAAACUAAGUUGGUUUUACAUUUAGAUUUUGAUGUUAACAAAAAUAUUUUAUGAGAACAAUAUAUUUGACUUCAAAGAGUAUGAAGGAAGAUUCAUAUUUUUGAAGAAAAUCUAAAAUAAGAUUUGAUUCCAAUUGAUAAUUGAAGAAAAUCUAAAAUAAGAUUUGAUUCAAAAUUAUAAUUGAUAAAAUUCCAAAAUAAGAUUUGAUUCAAAUUUAUAAUUGAAGAAAAUCUUUGAAUAAGUUGAAAAGAAAAUAUGGUCAAAAUUUGAAGAAGAUUUAAUUAAGAUUUGAAGAAGAUUUGAUCAAAAUUUGAAGAAGAUUUGAUCAAGAUUUAUCUACAACAAAAUAUGAACAGAAUCAAUUUGAAGAAUUUACAAACACAAUCUGAAGAAAAAUAAAGCAGAAUCAAUAUGAAAAGUUUACAAACUCAAUCUAAACAUAAUAGAAAUAUAAUCAAUUUGAAGAAUUUACAAACUUAAUCUGAACAAGAUACAAUUCAAAAUUAAACAAGAACUAAAUUGAAGCCCAAAUUUUCACUAUAAAUAGAUACUCAAGGCUGAAGGAGAAAAACAUAAAAAAGUAUACAAAAAAGUAUAAGAACUCAAGCUCAAGAUUCCAAAUUCAUCUUAGAGUUCAAAGAAAGAAACACUUGUUCGAAUGAGAAAUAUUUUCUGAGUGUUCUUUUCUUAGAGUGUGAGAGUUGUUAUUAUUAUUAUCAGCUUUGUUAGAAGCAACAACUCAAGUUCCAAUCUUUAGUAUCCAACUUGAUAGUGGUUUAGUUCAUUCUUUAAUCUGGAGUUGUCAGGUUGUUUGGAGAAGACUUGGCUUGUAGGGUCAAAGUGGUUAGUUCCUCAAAAGUCUGGAUUUGUUAGGCUAUUUGGGAAGAAUGGCUUGGAGGGUCAAGUGCUUUGUAAUUCAAGGUAUUUGAAUUAUUGGAUUAAAGCCUUUUGAAUAAGGAAACUGGAUGUAGGCAAGUUAGUGGUAAACCAAGAUAAAUAUAUGUGUCAAAUUAUUUAUGCUUUUAUAGUUUGCUGCUUAUGAAUCUGAUUGCUUCUUAUCUAAGUACUUCAUAAAAAUCAAUCAACCUUCAUCAAAUUAGCAAAAAGUUAUCAACUUUGGAAAACACAAUUCAACCAUCUCUUCUUGUGUUUGCAUAUUCACUUGGCAUCGGAGCUCGAUCUCAAGGCUAAGCACUUUACAUUUUUUGAGGAAAGAUCCAAGUGUUCAACAUGUCUAGUUAUAGUGAAUCAACAAAUAAAGAAAUUGAGGUAUUUUCUGAAUAUACUCGAUCUGAUUUAAUUACUGCUAUAAUUUUUUUUUAAACACUUAAGAAAGAAAAUACAAAUCUAACUGAAAAACUUAAUGUUUUAAAGAAUCAAAAUGUUGAAUUUAAAAUAGAAAAUGCAAAUCAGAAAACUAAUAUUAUUGAACUUAAGACAGAUAAUGCAACUCUGAAAACUGAUAUUAUUGAACGUAAAACAAAAAAUGUAAAUAUGAAAUCUCAUAUUGUUGAAUUUAAGGUUGAAUAUCUAACUUUGAAAAGUAAUUAUAGUUCAACAUCAAUUGAAAAUACCACAUGUAACUCCGAUAAACAUGAAGAAGUAUUUCAAGAUUUUUCUUAUAAUGGUAUGGAAAGAAGCAAGUAUGCAUAUAUAAUUUAUGAGGUUAAUAGGAAUGGUAAAAGAGGAAUAGGAUUUCAAGAUAAAGAAUUGAAUCUAAGUUUAUUCUCUCCGAUGAUUUAUGUACUAUUUGUUAUAAGAAAGGUCAAACUAAAAUAUCUUGUCCUAUGUUAACCACAUGAAAAGACAAGAAAUCUUUAAGAUCUAACAAGCCAGGACCCAACAAGAUUUGGGUACCAAAGGAUAAAAUUAUUUAUGGUGCAAAUGAUCUAAGCAACCAAAUUGAAACACCAGUCAUGGUGUCUGGUCAAUGGAUGCUUGCAAUAUAUGAAAGCAAAAAGGUUUAUGUUCCAAGACCUAUCAAACUGAAGCCAACUGACUCUGAUGAAAGAAGGAUUGGUCAUCACAAUACCUAUCAGAACUAGAACCAUAUGAUGAACCCAAAAUAUCAAUAAAAUCUAGAGUAUCAACUGAAUCAAAAACUGACAAAGAAAUCACCCAUAUCAAUAGAACUGGAACUACCAAAAGAACCAGAAUUACCAUCAGUUCCAAAAUUACCAGAGUAACCUGAUACAUCAGCAAAAACAGAAGUGUCAAAUUAAUAAUCAGAAUCAGAAGACUUUUUUGAACACUCCAAUCAAAUUCAUCAAGACUACAAACCUGGAUGGGAAUUCAAAUCCCUUCAUUCAAACCCUCUAAUCAGAGAAUAUGAAAAUUCAAAAUCUGAAAACUAGAAAAAAAGAAAUAAGAGGGCUUUCAUAGUGAAACUAAAACUGUUAACAUAUAGGUAAUAUUUUUAUUUAAAUUUAAUUAUUGUCUGAUAUUAUGUUUACUAUGAUAACAAGAAGCUUGAUCUUAAAUAUCAAAGCUAGAUAAGUAUUUUGCAGGUUCUCAAAAAUUUAGAGGAACAAAGAGAUCCACAUAAUUCGAACACUUCAGCAGAAGUAACAUACAAGUUUGGUUUUCAGAAACAAGCAAAAACCACAAGAAACAAAAUUAAUGUUUUGGUUGUAUUGAUUUCAUGCUUCAAUUUUAUUAUUUAUAUUAUGUUAUAUGAAAAACAGCUUUAACUUAAAAAGUCAAAACAAGUUGAGGAUACUGUAGGUUUGCCGGAACCAGAGGAAGCAAAUGCAGACAAACUAGAAGAUGACAAUUAGCCUCCACUGUGUACAUCCCAACUUGCUCUUUAACAUGUCUAUAACUUUAACUCCAUUGACAACUAUUAUAAUCGAUUUCUUCCACCAAGGCAUAUACUUCUUCAUGUUCUUUGUUUAGAAUAGAGCCUCCAAAAGCAAGAUCAAUAUUAUUUCUACUUUGAACUAAAAAUCCAUUAUGAAAAAUCUGAACAAGUUGCCAUAUAUGGUAGCCAUGAAGCCGACAACUUCUGAUCAUGUCUUGAAAUCUUGUGUCUCACAUAAGAAAUCUUGCUCAAAUUGAACAAAGUUGGCGAUGUCAUUCCGAAGUUAAGAAGACCUGGAUGGAAAAAAAUAUUUUUUUCAAAAAUAUUUUGGUUAGUUGAUCCCAUGUAAUAGACUUAGCAGGUUGGGAUGACAACUAGUUUGAAGCCUUAUCCGUCAAAGACCAUGGAAAUAGCCUCAAUCUUAUGGCAUCUGUAGAAACACCAUUAUAUUUUACAGUGUUUGUCAUCCUUAUGAACCUCUUUAGAUGAACGUUGGAGUUUUCAAUUGGUAGUUCUUUGAAAAAGAGUAGAGGUUUGCCCCAUAGAUAUCAAGUCUGACUUAAGCUUGAAGUUGUUUGCCUCCACAACUAGGUUAGCUAUGCUUUUAAUAAAAUUUACCGCCAGAGUGAAAUAAUCCUCCAACGUUCUUGGUACUCUUUCACCCAUUGCUCUUAUUUGUCAUCUUCGCCUACAAGCAGUUCGUUCAAUUUUUAAACCAAAAAGAAAAAUAGACUCCUGGAAACGAGUGAACAUACACAUAAAAAUGAAGGAAAAAAAACCAAUAAAUUAAUAACAACUAAAUAAAUAUUAUUUUUUUUGUUUUUUUAAAAACUAAAGCGUAAAGCCAAAUUGAAAUGAUAAUAAUAACAAAGAAAAUUAAAUAUAUUAGUAAUAGUAACAUCGAAAAGUAAAUCAAACAUAUUUAUUUAUUUAUUUAUUUUUUGAAUAAAAUAAUUAAACUAAACAAAAAAAAGUCUAAAGUAAUAAAAAUCUUUUUCGCUUAAUAUUUGUAAAUUAAUAUAUGAAAACGGCUCCAAAAACUUGUUGUACAAAAUUCCGCGAUUGUGCAGGUUUGCUGAGUAGUAGUAUAUAAGAUUAUCAUAUUCAUAUAUAUUAAUUUAAGAACUACCAAAUUAAUUCAGAUUCUAUAUUAUUUUGACUAAUCAAAAUUAUUGUUAGUCUGCGAUAAUGAAAACAUAAUCAUACAAGAAUCUUAAAGAAAUUGAGUGAUUGAAAGAUUAGUAUCUAUGUUUAAUCAUACAAGAAUCUUAAUCUCAAUUCUACAUAUUAAUUGUAGUUGAUCAGUAGCCAAUUGACUGAUUAAGGCAUGCAAACUCGGUCAUGCCAAAUAUGUAAAUAAAACAAUAGAAUAAUUUGAUUUAGAUAAACAGCAAAAAUCUAAAAUGAAACUAAAAUUUAAAAAUAUGAUAUAGUAAAAAAGUAUCUUAAUCACAAGAUUUGGGCAAGACCUUAAAAGAGAGCUUAGUUACUGAUAGAUAUAUAAAAAUAAAGUAAAUAAUAAAAAUAUUAAUUAAUUAACAUAAAAUAAAUAAAGCCGUCAAGUAGUACAUUUUUUCCUCCAAAAUUUGAGACAAUUUGCUCCAGCUCUAACCACUUGUAAGUUUCCAAAGUGUUUGUCUUUAUUUUCUCUCUCUAACUUUUCUUACUCCUCUGAUUUGGUUUCUGGUAUAUGACUGUCGUUGAGUUUAUUUCUCCCCAUUGUGAUAGCAAGAAGAUCCAACUUCUAUGCAACAACAUUCCCCUCUUUUUGCAUCAACCUUCCCGCUUCUUUGUCAACAAUCUUUUUAAUCGCAACAAACUUCCUUCUUGUGAAUAUUAAACUUUAUAUUUUUACACUAAAAACUUAGUAGAUUUAACCAAUUUGAAUUAUUUUAUCAUCUCAUGAUUAAUUUUACAAAUACCCUAUUAAAAUUAUAGAAAAAUAGGUUUGUAAUUGUUUUUUUACUAAACUAUUAUAGAUUGUUACAAAGUGCAAACUGUAAAAUGAGGAAAUAAAAUAAAUUUAUAAGUUGAUCAAAGCAAGUUAAACAAGAAAUUAUAAGUACCAUUUUACAUUAUUUUUUACUUAGUUAUAAGAAAUUAUUAACACUAAAAUUCUCUAUUAUUUUUUACUCAUGGAAACAUUGACCAAUGUUAGAAAAAAUUAUUCACUAAUAAAAAAAUAUGAUGAUGAAAAAAUUAAUAUUUUUAUUUGGAUAACCAUAAGAAAGAAAAAAUAAUAACAAAAGAGUCUUAAUUAGUUACUCGUGUUUAAUAAUUAUUCAUAUAUUUAUAUUCCUAUAUUCAUUUACAUAUAAAUAGUAGUUUAAGUCUAAUAAUUUUGAUUGAAUAUUAUUAUAAUUAUCUUUUUUAUUCAACUAUUAUAACUUGUUACAAAGUGCAAACUGAGAAAAGAUGAAAUAAAAUAAAUUUAUAAGUGGAUCAUAGCAAGUUGAACAAAAAAAUUAUAAGAAGUACCUUUUAAUAUUAUUUUUUACUUAAAUAAGAAAAAAAACUAAAAUUGUGCAUUAUUUUUUACUCAUGGAACAUGUGACCAAUGUUAGAAUAUGAUGAAAGAAUUAACAUUUUUGUUUUGAUAACCGUAAGAAAAAAUAAUAACAACCACAAAACUAAAAAUUAUGCUAUAACUAAGAAUUAUAAUCGUCGAGUAAGAAGUGUAGCUUGUCAUUGAUCCUAAAUGACCAAAUGUUGAGUUUUUGAUUCUCUUUGAAGUUAUUUUGCGACACAAGAAGCCUCCAAUUCUUAAUAAGAUUAUAAACACUAGUUGGAUGCAUCUUUGACUUGUUGUGCAUCUUCCACAUUUUCAAAGGCAUAGUGAAUUCUCUAAAGGAAGAAUCCAACACAACCACUUCCAACCCAAGAGGUUUAUCUUCUUCCUUUGUAUCUAAUAUCUUUUUCUCCAUCUCAGUAAGAAAAUCACAUUUGAUUUUUUGAAGUGGCAUUGAAAGACGAUUGUUAUUUAUGUUGAGAUCCGUUUUAAACAACUUCUUACACAUAACAUAUCUUACUUUAGUACCAUUCAACUUUGUGAUCUUGUCCAUGACAUGAAUAGACAAUUUUGGUAGUUGUGAAGAUUCUUUUUCCUUUAUAAUAGUCUUUGGUUUCACUCUUCUUACUUCACAAGACAUGCUACCUUCAUUACUUGAACAACUCAUAUUUUUGUUAUUAUCCACUUUAUCUUUUUUUAUAGUGUUUUGUAAAAUAAGAGGUGACUUUGUUUCUUGACAAACACUUUGAUGUAGUUCUUCAAUUUGUGAUAACUCUUCAUUGGUGUAGAAAUGUGGAGCAACUUGUGCUAAAAUUGCAUUUAAAGUGAAAUGAACUUUAAGAUUGAAAGGAAUGCUCUUUUUCUUCUUCAUCAUACCUUCUAUAUCUUGCAAUAUUAUUUUUCUCUCCAUUAAGCUUUUUUUAUCUCUUACAAUAAUGUUGUGUUGUGAUUCAAAUUCAUGUAUCAAUAGUGUAUUUAUAUAUAAAGAGUUUUAUGGAGACUAAAAUUAGUCAAUUAUCUUAUUAUUAUUUAAAAAAGAUAUUAUCUUUUAGACUAGAUUUAGUGAAAAUGCAGUUCCAUAAAUUCUGAUUUAUUAUAUUAUCAAUUGUAAGAUCCUAUUUUUUUGGGGCAAAAUGGAUAAAAGAUUGGAUUCUAAAAUAUCUCAACGAAACUUAGAGCGCAAAGAGGCUCAAAACGGUGCUUAGAAUCCAACCGAGAAGAUACAUAUACAUAAUAAUUACGGUAAACGAAUCGGAGAAACCUCGCCGGAGAAAAUAAACGGAGGUAUCGGCUUUCUCUCUCGUUCAAGUUUAUCUCUCUGCCACGGUGGUAGAGAAAUUUUGAGCGGUUUCGGUUGAUGUAACUGAAUUUGAAGGAAGGGGUGCGCAUUUUAUAGUGCAUGCGAGAUUCGAGGCUCGUUGUUUGGACGAAACACAUUAGCUGUCUUUUGAUCAAAGCAGAGAGAGGCUUGGAAGCUAAUGUGCGCCGGAUGCGUGUUGGAUUGACUUGCAUCUUUUUAUUUCCUUCCUAUUCGGACUACUAAUUCCUUACAAGAUAUUUUGUUGAUAUGUUUAUCAAAGAAUCACCCCUCUCAUAAUAGUAAUUGUUAUCUAAAUGCUACAUGCAUUUCACUGCUGAAUAUAUCCAGUGAGACUUAAUUUUUAUGUAAUUUUGUGUGAGAUUAAUGCUCUUUUUCUUCCCCCCUUAUAUCCAACCAAACACAAUAUAUAACUAAAAUUCAUCUUUUUUCUUUCAUCUCACUUCUAUUAAAAUCUCACCUCUUAGUUAGAUAUAACUAAUUCAAAACUCAAACAUUAAUGAAUUUCAUAAUAAUGAAUGAAGUUUCAAUGACGAAGAUAAUAAUAGUACAUCUCAAAGUAAUAAAUGUCAAGAUCCAACACAUAAAAAAUUUAACAUAAAAGAAAUAAAAAAAUGUUGGAUAGACAAGAAAACAUUAAUUGAGGAAAACAUUUUAGUUUGGUGAAAUUUGUUGUGGACAAAGAUGAUGUCCAUCUUAAAAGAAACUUUGUAAUUUUGUUUGAUCUUUUUAAACUGAGAGUCAACACCCACCAAUAUAUAUAUAUAUAUAUAUAUAUAUAUAUAUAUACAUAUAUAUAUAAUAUUAUUUAAAAAUAUAUUUAUUUAAUAUAUGUUGAUAAAAAUUGAAUCAUCCAUCCAAAAUUCACUUAACCAAAUAUGUUCACCAAAUAUAUAUAUAUAUUGAGAAAGUUUUAAUUUUUUUGCAUAUUUUUGAAGAAGUAAUUCAAUCAAAGUUGAAGCAAAAUGAUAUAUGAAAAUCUACCAUUUGAAAUAAUCACUACGCCAAAAAUGACAUUUAGCAGCGCCCAUUUUACAGCGUUUGCUAAACACAAGCGCUGUUGUAAUUAUAUUUUAAAAAUAACGGAACCUAUUACAGCGCUUUUUGAUGCAAAGCGCUGUAACCCAAGCGCUGUAGUAGGUCAUAUAACGUUUGCGCAUCACGUUAUAAGGCCUUUACAUCGCUUGUCAAAAAAGCGAUGUAAAAGGAAGCGCUUUCGCGAAUCAGUUACAGCGCUUUUUUCACAAGCGCUGUAAAACACAUGCGCUUUCAUUGAAUUUAACUACCUAUUACAGCGCUUUUUUCACAAGCGUUGUAAAAUACAUGCGCUUUCAUUGAAUUUAACUACAUAUUACAGCGCUUUUUUCACAAGCGCUGUAAAACACAUGCGCUUUCAUUGAAUUUAACUACCUAUUACAGCGCUUUUUUCACAAGCGCUGUAAAAUACAUGCGCUUUCAUUGAAUUUAACUACGUAUUACAGCGCUUUUUUCACAAGCGAUGUAAAAUACAUCUUUAAAAUAAUUAUAUACGUUGGAAACCCUCAUAUCCUCUACAUCUUUCAAAUAAUUAUAUACGUUGGGAACCCUAAUAUCCUCUACGUACUGUGCGGCCAUCUACGUUGUCUAAGGUAUUUUUUACACAUGAUCUGUUAUAUUUUGUUACAUAUAUAUUAAAUCUACUAAAAAUUGUUAUAUAUAUAUAUAUAUAUAUAACUCAUACCACAUGAUCUGUUCUGUUUUGAAAUUGUUAGUUGAUAUUGGUUUCUUUUUGAAACUUGUUGAUAUGUUUUGAAAGCUUAUUAUUUUUGUUACUGCAUUUAUAUAGGUGGUAUAAUAUGGAUAGGAAAUGGAUUUCAGCCAAUCGAUUGUCAAAAGAGUAUGAAAUUGGAGUGAAGGAGUUUGUUGAGUUUGCAGUGAAGAAUGCAAAAGAUCCAAAUAGAGUAGUUUGUCCUUGUUUAAAAUGUUGUUUUGGAAAACGUGUUAGAGAAGAUGAAUUAGAAGGACAUCUAGUAUGUAAUGGAAUUGAUCAAAGCUACACAUGUUGGAUAAGACAUGGUGAGAAAAAAAAAGGAAACAUUAAUUUUGAGAAUAGUUCUACAUAUGCUUCAACUGAUUUCGAUACAGAUACAUAUGAGCCGGACCGAGUUGAUGAGAUUGCAAAAGCAGUUGAAGAAGAUCUUCGAGAUUGUCCUAAAAUGUUUGAAAGUUUGUUGAGUGAUGCAGAGAAAGAAUUAUAUAAUGGUUGUACUAAAUUCACAAGACUGUCAGCGAUAUUAAAGUUGUACAACUUAAAAGCGAGUAAUGGAUGGUCUGAUAAAAGCUUUACGGAAUUAUUAACACUCAUAAAAGAUAUGUUGCCAGAUGAUAAUGAACUUCCCAGUCGAACCUACGAGGCUAAACGGAUUUUGUGUUCUAUUGGAAUGAGUUACGAAAGGAUUCAUGCGUGUCCUAACGAUUGCAUUUUAUUUCGAAACGAAUAUGAACUACUUAAGGCGUGUCCGAAAUGCAAUGUCUCUCGAUAUAAGAAGAAAGAAUCUACUCCAGCAAAAGUCGUGUGGUAUUUUCCUAUAAUACCAAGAUUUAGGCGCAUGUAUCGCAGUGAAGAAGAUUCAAAACACUUGACAUGGCAUGCAGAUGAAAGAAUUAGAGAUGGAAUGUUUCGACACCCUGCAGAUUCCCCACAAUGGGCAAAAAUUGAUCACGAGUAUCCUGAAUUCGGGAUAGAGUCAAGAAAUCUAAGACUUGCACUUUCUACUGAUGGAAUGAAUCCACAUGGUCUUCAAAGCAUCUCACAUAGCACGUGGCCUGUGAUUUUGGUAAUAUAUAACCUACCUCCAUGGUUAUGUAUGAAGCGUAAGUUUAUGAUGUUGUCUCUGUUAAUUUCUGGACCCAAACAACCGGGGAAUGAUAUCGACGUAUACUUGACUCCUUUAAUUGAAGAUUUAAAAAUUCUGUGGGAGACAGGUGUGGAAGUUUAUGAUGGGUAUAGGAAAAAGUGUUUCAAUUUGAGGGCUAUGUUGUUCGGCACAAUUAAUGAUUUUCCAGCAUAUGGUAAUUUAUCAGGAUAUAGCAUUAAAGGUCAGUGUGCAUGUCCUAUAUGUGAAGAGAGUACAAAUUGGAUGCGGUUGAAACAUUGUAAGAAGAAUGUGUUUCUUGGACAUCGUAGAUUUUUACCUUAUAGUCAUCAGUAUCGUGGGUGGAGAAAUGCAUUCAAUGGAAAAUCAGAGGAAGGUAAAGCUCCUUUAGCACCGACUGGAUAUCAAAUACUUGAAAAAGUACAAGGUUUGACCAAUAAAUUUGGCAAACCUUUUGCGGGAGAGCUGGUGAAAACUGGGUGGAAGAAAAAGUCAAUUUUCUUUGAAUUGCCAUAUUGGAAGUCAUUGUAUGUAAGACAUUUCCUCGAUGUGAUGCAUAUUGAAAAAAAUGUAUUUGAAAGUGUUAUUGGUACGUUACUCAAUGUUCCAGGAAAGUCUAAAGAUGGCGUCAAUGCAAGAUUGGACUUGGUCGAUAUGGGAAUAAGAAAUGAACUGGCUCCAGUAAAGAAAGGAAAUCGCACAUAUCUACCUCCAGCCGCUCAUACUCUAUCUAGAAAGGAAAAAAUUGUUUUAUGUAAAUUUCUACACGAAGUUAAAGUUCCAGAAGGAUACUCUUCGAACAUUAAAAAUUUGGUUUGUAUGAAAGACCUCAAGUUAAAAGGUUUGAAGACCCAUGAUUGUCAUAUUAUAAUGGAGCAUUUGCUACCAAUAGGUAUACGUUCCAUUUUACCUGAAAAAGUUCGACUAGCCUUAACUAGAUUAUGUUUCUUCUUCAGGGAAAUUUGUAGUAAAGUGAUCGACCCUCAGAAAUUACCGACAUUGCAGAGGGAAAUUGUUGUUACUUUGUGUGAGCUUGAAAUGUAUUUCCCACCAUCGUUUUUUGAUAUAAUGGUUCACCUUACUGUUCAUCUGGUUAAGGAGACACAACUUUGUGGGCCAGCUUAUAUGAGAUGGAUGUAUCCGAUAGAACGAUAUAUGAAAAUAUUAAAAGGGUACGUAAAAAGUAGAAGUCGACCAGAAGGUUGUAUUGCUGAACGAUACAUUGUUGAAGAGGCUGCUGAAUUUUGUACUGAAUAUCUGUCCAAUGUUGAAUCCAUAGGGCUUCCCAUGUCUCGUCAUUCGGGAAGACUAUCAGGAGAAGGGAUAACUGGAAGGAGACUACUGACUAUAUCAAGGACAGAAUGGGAGCAGGCACAAUUGUAUGUUCUGCACAAUGAUGAUGAGGUUCAACCGUAUGUUACAAUACACAUUGAUCAGUUAUCUCGUUUGAACAUGAAUAGGAAUCAAAAUUGGAUAACUCGAGAGCACAAUCGAAGUUUUGUAACAUGGUUAAAAAAUCACAUAAUGUCAAAAUUUGAUAUAGACCCCGGAUCAAUUUCAAAUAGAUUGAGGUGGCUAGCAAAUGGUCCGAGCUUACAUGUCUUUUCUUACACUGGUUAUGUUAUUAACGGCUACACAUUUUAUACCAAAGAACAAGAUGAUCAGACCACUAUGCAAAAUAGUGGAGUCACUCUCGUAGCUGAAGCGAUGCAUGUCUCAAGUGCAAAAGACAAAAACCCAAUAUAUGCAAAUCUAUCAUAUUUUGGGGUUAUCGAGCGCAUAUGGGAGUUAGACUACACAAUGUUUCGUGUUCCCAUAUUUGGUUGCAAGUGGGUCGAUAAUAAUAAUGGCGUUCGGAUUGAUGAGUCAGGAUUCUUGCUUGUCGAUUUUAAUAGGGUGGGAUACAAAGACGAGCCUUUUAUUUUAGCGUCGCAAGCUCAACAAGUGUUUUAUGUCACUGAUCCUUCUAAUGAUAAAUGGUCUGUUGUCCUAUCGACCAAUAAAAUAAGUGAUGAUAACAAUAAUGAUGAAGAUGUUGGUAAUGAUCUUUUAUUUGCAACAUCACAACAACCACAUGAAAUUGAUUCAACUGAUGAUGGUUUAUAUCUUAGAGAUGAUCAUGAUGAGGGAAUUUGGAUUAAUCCAUCGUUUCGUAUUGUAAAUGGACAAACAAAUGUGAAUGUCACCAGGAAAAGAAGAAGGGCAUCUUAAUGUAUAUGUUUAAUUGUUUUAUAUAAGCUAUGCAUGUAAUCUGAACUGUGUUAUUGUAAAUAUGCAUGUAAUCUGAAUUGAGUGUUUUAUACUAAGUUCUGAUUAAUUUAUUUUCUGCUUAUAUUUAGCUUGAUUUGAGUGUUUUAUACCAAGUUCAUGUAACAAUGAGUGUUUUAUAUUUAGCUUGAUUUACAUGAACUGAACUGAAUAUAAAUUAGUAAUUUACAUGAACUGAACUGAACUGAAUAGAGAGAUUCUCUUUUGCUCAGUGCAUAUAUAUAUAGAUUCUUCAGAAGUUCUCAUUUCUAAUAAUUCAUCAUCUCCUAAAGUAUUGUGAUAAAGACAAUGAUAACAAUAUUUUUAAUCCAAUAAACAAUGAUAAAAAUGUUUUUAAUGUCAUCCCAACCCAAAUAAACCAAACACAAAAAUAAAAUAAAGAGACAUUUUACAGCGCUUAUCUUAAAAAGCGCUGUAAAAGAUCCUUUUAAAAAUAAAAUAAUGAGUGUUUUAUACCUUUUACAGCGCUUUUCACACAAAGCGCUGUAAACGACUCUUUUGAAAGUGAGUAAAAAAGACAUUUUACAGCGCUUGUUUGCCAAAGCGCUGUAAAAUGGCUUUAAAAAUAAUAUUCAUCAGACACCUAAUUUCUUCAAACACCUUGUACGCAUCAUGGGAUUCAAAAAACAUCAGACACAAACCCAUUUCUUCAAAAACCUUGUACGCAUCAUGGGAAUCCAAAAAACAUCAGACACAAACCCAUUUCUUCAAAAACCUUGUACGCAUCAUGGGAAUCCAAAAAACAUCAGACACAAACCCAUUUCUUCAAAAACCUUGUACGCAUCAUGGGAAUCCAAAAAACAUCAGACACAAACCCAUUUCUUCAAACACCUUGUACGCAUCAUGGGAAUCCCCAAAAACACCAGACACAAACCCAUUUUUCGCAACAUGGCAAUGAUCCUGAAUACCAAUUAAGUUUCGAUUUAAGAAGGAAAGAGAAUGUAAAGAGAUAAAUAGGGUAUUGAGGUGGAGAUUGAAUUGUGAAAGAGUAAGCUUUGAUGUUUGUGAAGAAGAUGCAUAAAAGGAGAAGAGUUUGGUGAAGAGGAAGGGAUUUUUGUGGUGACCAGUUACUGCUAUGUGGGUUUGCAUGUUGAGCUUGUUUAAAAAAUAACAUAACAAAACACAAAAACAAUAAGGCCUUUUAACAGCGCUUAUUUGGAAAAAGCGCUGUAAAAGAGCCUUCUAAAAUUAACCUAAAGAGACAUUUUAGAGCGCUUAUGUGGAAAAGCGCUGUAAAAGGCUUUAAAAAACAUUCAUAUAACAUAAUAACACACGGAGGUCUUUUACAGCGCUUAUUUGGGAAAAGCGUUGUAAAAGAGUCUCUUAAAAUUAACAUAAAGAGAUAUUUUAGAGCGCUUAUGUGUAAAAGCGCUGUAAAAGACAUUCAAAUAACAUAAUAACACAGAGAAGUCUUUUACAGCGCUUAUUUGAAAAAAGCGCUGUAAAAGAGCCUUUUAAAAAUUUAACUAAAGAAGCCUUUUAGAGCACUUAUGUGUGAAAGCGCUGUAAAAGGCAUUCAAAUAACAUAAUAACACACGGAGGUCUUUUACAGCGCUUAUUUGGGAAAAGCGCUGUAAAAGGCGUAAAAGGCAUUCAAAUAACAUAAUAACACACGGAGGUCUUUUACAGCGCUUAUUUGACAAAAGCGCUGUAAAAGGCGUAAAAGGCAUUCAAAUAACAUAAUAACACACGGAGGUCUUUUACAGCGCUUAUUUGACAAAAGCGCUGUAAAAGGCGUAAAAGGCAUUCAAAUAACAUAAUAACACACGGAGGUCUUUUACAGCGCUUUUUGGGAAAAGCGCUGUAAAAGAGCCUUUUAAAAAUUUAACUAAAGAAGCCUUUUAGAGCGCUUUACAAAAUAAGCGUUGUAAAAGGCUUAUAAAAAGCGCUGUAAAAGUGUUACGUAUAUAUAACAGUUACCUCUUCAGUUUCCUCUUCAUUACGUAAACUUCACUAUCAUCUCAACCUUCAUCGUUCUUCUCUUCUUUUACAAACCCUAUCAUCCCGUCUAUUACGAACCUUAUUUCCACGAUCAUCUCCUUCGUUUCGAACCUUAUUUCCAUCCAAGAUCAUCUCUCCCAUUUCACACAAUAUAUUUUCAUUGAAAUACGUAACCCUCAUUACGUAUUUCUUCAAUAUCCUAUUUCUUUGAACCAUAUUUCUGUGAACUUUCUGCGUUCCCUCUUUUCUUUACAUUUCAUCUUUCUUCGAACCCUUUUCUUUAGAUUUCAUCUUUCUUCGAACCAUUAUUCAGGUAUUGAUGUUAUAAAUUUUUUGUAAUCAUUAAAAUGCAUGUUGAGCUUUUUAAAGAUAUACUGAUACAUGUUGAGUUUGUUUAUAAUAAUGCAUGAUGCAUGUUGAGCUUGUUGAUGUUAUACUAAAGUGCAUGUUGAACUUGUUGUAGUUAAAUGGAUACAAACAAAGAUUUAGAAGUUCAAAAUGAAGAAGUUGGCACCUCUAAGACUUACGAAAAAGAAGUCAAACGUGGUGCAACUAUCAUGCAAAGGGUGAUUAAAGCACGGAGCAGUGGCAUUAAAUUUGAGGUAUACUAUAUAUACUCUGUUUGCUGUGUGUUUUUUUAUCUUUUUUUAGGGUUUAGGGCAUGUACUUACUAUAUGAGUUUAUUAGGUUGGCUGGAACGAGAGUGGUCAGCCAGUUGACCCCAACAGCUCCAUGUUUGUAAGCUACAUUGGGGCUGUUGUUCGUCAAAAUGUCCCAAUAACAAUAGACAACUGGAGAGAUAAGGCGUUGAAGGAUGCCAAAGAUAUCAUCUGGAAUGACAUUCAAGUAAAUAUUUUGAUCUACUCUUUUGUCAUUUAUAAUUUUUUUUCUGUAAAAUACAUUACUUAUAAUUGUUUUCAUUGCAGACCACUUUUGUUCUUGAUGAGGAACGAAAGUCAUAUGUUUUGAGAGUUGCUGGGAAAAUCCAUCGUGGAUUUAGAUCCCAUCUCUCAAAUUUCUAUCUAAAAGAUAGAGAAGGAAACACAAAUGCUGAACCUCCAAAGAUAUAUCAACAUUAUAUAUCAAAGGAUGAAUGGAGUGCAUUUGUUUCCAAACGUUCUGACCCGGCGUUUGUCGUAAGUUAUUAAUUUAUUAGCAUUUGUGUUUUAUUAUUCAUAUUCGUAGCGUAUUUUAAAUUUUUACACAAUUGCAAUUUUUUUUUUAUAUAGAAUAUUAGUACGGCAAAUCGCGAACGGGCAAGCAACCCAAAACACCCAUACAAGAAAUCACGUAUGGGAUAUGCACGCCUUGAACAAAAAAUUGUAAGUAAUUAAACAUCACUUGUAAUUUGUAUUAUAAACUAUAGUGUGUAACUAAUUUGUAUUAUUUUGUUUAUGAUUUUAACGAAUAGAGAAAAGACACCCAAGCCGAUCAACCCUUGGGUCGUCAUAUCUUAUGGAAGGAAGCGCGUGUUAACAAAGAAGGAGUGGUUGAUAAUGAAAAUGUCAAGAAAGUUGUAGAACUUUGUGUAAGUAUAUUAUCACUUUAAUAUUUUUUAAUAUUGUAUUUUAAAAAUGCUAUUGAACUUAUCUUUUUAAUGUUACAUGUAUUUUAGGAAACUAUUGAACAAAGUUCUGAAACUCAAGAGGGCAACAAGGAUACGUGCAGGGACAUUCUUGGGAAAGUGUUUAAUGUCCCUGAGUAUUCCGGUCGAGUGAGGGGGAAAGGAUUUGGCGUAACUCCCAAAAGCUUUUUUCCUCAAGAGAAGCGCCAAAAACCUUCCAACGAGGAAGUAUUAGAGAAGCUCAGAAUCUUAUCGGAGCAAGUGGCACUCUUGGUGAAUACGAAUAAAGACAAGCAACUUCCGGUUCAGCUCCAACCUGAAAUACAAAUGGAGAGUGAAACCGGGAGUUGCAACGUCGGUUUGAAGAGUAUUCCCGAGGUAAUUAAUUACUUACUACUUACUUGCUUAUGUAAUUACUUAUGUAUUAAACAAACUUAUAUAUUAACUGUACUUAUGUUUUAACUAUUGAUGUAGGGUGUCACUACAUGUGUCCUAUACUUGUCCUCGCCGACUCAACGGAAGGUGGGAAAAGGAAUAUUGCACAAUACUUCGGGAGAAGUAUUGCACAAUAUUCCGAUCCCCGCGGGCCAUGUCAAAGUAUCGCCUACGGUUGCUUUCGAACCAACUGCACCGUUGCCCAUACCGGACAACGAUGGAGAUAUGAAGUUCUUAAGCGACGCUAUUGGCAGUUACGUGGCAUGGCCCACACACCUUGUUGCCCUCGAAAAAAAGAUUCCCAAGGACAAAUCAGUUACAUCUCCCGAAAAGGUUUGUCACAUUUAUUGCCUAAGGUUUUUUAUUUUUUCAGAUUCAAUAAACUAACAUUUUACCUCAUUUUUGUAGGUCCAAAUAAAUAAACCACCCCUACAGCCAAAAAAAGGCAGCAGACCUCAAAAAUUGGAGGUUAAUAGGGCUGCCAAACUACAAAGGCUGGAGGGUAAUAAAGCUGCAAAACUUGCAGCAACAAAAAAUCUGGAUCGGGGAAAAUCGGUCGCUGCUGCUGCUGCUCCUAAUAAAAGUCAGCCACGCCUUGGUAAAUACGGGGCGUGUCUUGACAUCCAAAUAAAAAGGAACAUGGGCAGCAGCAACGAUUCGCCCAUUGUACAAAUGAAUCAAGACAUCUUUGGAGAUGAGUAUAUUGAAUACCUCGAAAAGGAGCAAAUGUACGAUCUUCUCGAACAUAAGGAGCUGAGUGUUACUGUAAUCAGCUUGUACAUAAGGUAAAAAAUACUUUUAAUUGCAUUUAUUUGUAAUUAAUUAAAUGUAUUGGUAAUUAAUCUAGUUUAAAAUUUUCAUUGAAGGUUUUUGUACGAGAAGGUCGUGUGCACGAGGAAACUGUCAAAUAAAUACUCAUUCUUGUCUCCGCAUAAGAUGUCGAUGUUCAAACUCGAUCCAGACAAUGUAAAACACUACAUUGUAGAUAUGUUUUUAAGAAAUAAAGAAAGUGAUAAAUUGUUCUUGGCACCAUAUAAUUCAGGGUACGUAAUUUUAUCUUUUUUAAUUGAUGAGAAUUUAAUUUAUUAGUUGUCUAUAAACAAAAUUGCUUAACCAAUUUUUUGUUGUUGUAGGGCACAUUGGGUGCUAUUUGCAAUCAAUGCGGUCUCUGAAGUGAUAUACUAUUUGGAUCCCGUGCACGGCGAUUACACCAAUCACCCCGGAAUAAAGAAUAUGCUCGACACGUAAGUAAUAUUCAUUUAUUUCUUACAUAUAUAUAUUUAUAUAUAUAUAUAUAUAAAUAUAUAUAUGUAAGAAAUAAAUGAAUAUUACUUACGUGUCGAGCAUAUUCUUUAUUCCGGGGUGAUUGGUGUAAUCGCCGUGCACGGGAUCCAAAUAGUAUAUCACUUCAGAGACCGCAUUGAUUGCAAAUAGCACCCAAUGUGCCCUACAACAACAAAAAAUUGGUUAAGCAAUUUUGUUUAUAGACAACUAAUAAAUUAAAUUCUCAUCAAUUAAAAAAGAUAAAAUUACGUACCCUGAAUUAUAUGGUGCCAAGAACAAUUUAUCACUUUCUUUAUUUCUUAAAAACAUAUCUACAAUGUAGUGUUUUACAUUGUCUGGAUCGAGUUUGAACAUCGACAUCUUAUGCGGAGACAAGAAUGAGUAUUUAUUUGACAGUUUCCUCGUGCACACGACCUUCUCGUACAAAAACCUUCAAUGAAAAUUUUAAACUAGAUUAAUUACCAAUACAUUUAAUUAAUUACAAAUAAAUGCAAUUAAAAGUAUUUUUUACCUUAUGUACAAGCUGAUUACAGUAACACUCAGCUCCUUAUGUUCGAGAAGAUCGUACAUUUGCUCCUUUUCGAGGUACUCAAUAUACUCAUCUCCAAAGAUGUCUUGAUUCAUUUGUACAAUGGGCGAAUCGUUGCUGCUGCCCAUGUUCCUUUUUAUUUGGAUGUCAAGACACGCCCCGUAUUUACCAAGGCGUGGCUGACUUUUAUUAGGAGCAGCAGCAGCAGCGACCGAUUUUCCCCGAUCCAGAUUUUUUGUUGCUGCAAGUUUUGCAGCUUUAUUACCCUCCAGCCUUUGUAGUUUGGCAGCCCUAUUAAUGGGCAUUUUACAGCGCUUUUUUGAGAAAGCGCUGUAAAAUGCAGACCCAUAAUAUGAAAUUAUGGUUGGGCAUUUUACAGCACUUUUUUGAGAAAGCGCUAUAAUAUGCACACCCAUAUAUGAAAUUAUGGGUGGGCAUAUUACAGCGCUUUUGUGAGAAAGCGCUGUAAUAUGCCCACCCAUAUAUGAGUUAUGGGUGUGCAUUUUAGAGCGCUUUGUUGAGAAAGCGCUGUAAAAUGCACACCCAUAACUCAUAUAAUGGGGUGCAUAUUACAACGCUUUUUGUGAAGAAGCGCUGUAAAAUGUACAUAACAAGCGCGCGUUGUAUUUACAUGUUUUAUAGCGCUUUUUUAAAAGCGCUGUUGUAUCAUUUACAGCGCUUGUUUCCACAGCGCUUAUUUUUUUGAAAAAGCGCUGUAAAUGACUUAAAAAAAGCGCUGUAAAAUCCGUUUUUUCGCGUAGUGAAUCCCAAAUUCAAGUUCAUUCACAAAGUUCAAAGAUAAAAAAUAAACAAAGACAGAAUAGAAUGAAAAACCAAAUUACUCUUUGAUCCUCUUAUAUCAUCAGAGUAUCAAGAGCUAAUUCAUAAUGUGCUUGGGAUAUGAUUUGAACGCAAGACAACAUAGUGAAGCAACACUUAUAACAUCAAACGAAACCAUCAGGUCAAAGAAGAGGUUGACGUAGCUAUUAUGUGUUUCAAUUCAAUUAUCUAUAACACAACUUAAUUUAUUAAUAUGUAAUCAUGCUACAGUGGUUUUUACUUGUUGGUUAUUUACAAUUGUCUAUUAGCCUGUAUGUUUAAAGAAGUCUAAAAUUAAACACAUAAGUAAUUGCUAAUAUUAAACACAUAAGCAAUUUUUAUUUAGGAGUGAUCUAAUAAAUCCAUUUAACAAGGAGUAUUUUUAUAAAAAUAUAGUUAAUACAUCUAAUAAUUUAAAAGUAGUUUUAUGAAAAUGGACUAUAUUAAACACACAAGUAAUUAUUUCUAAACUUAAACACAUGUGUUCAAUAAUUAGUGAUAGAUUUGUAUUCCUAUAUUCAUUUACAUAAGCAGUAGUUUAAGUCUAAUAAACUUUGUUAGCUCAAUAGAAAGAAACAAAUUGUGAGAAAAAAUACCGAUAUAAAGAAACGGAGAGGAGGUCACAACGGAGAGAAACAGUCAAGAGAGGAAAAAUGAAGGAGUUGUGAGAGAAACAGAGAGCGAGGAGAGAAACGGUUGUGGGUUGUGGCGACGAGGAGAGAAACAAAGAGCUAGGUGAAAAGCCGUGAGGUGGGCGGCACAAUUUCAACAAGUGGACGGUGGGCGGCGAGGUGAGAACAGAGGAGGAUGAUACAAUACUAUUGAUACUAGUGAGAGUGAAUGAAUGAGAAUUUGUUGUGGUAGAGUGUGAUUGUGUGUGUGUGAGGAUAUCACUAGGGUUUGCAAUUAAGCUUAAUGGGUGAUGAGUCUGAUUGUUGUAUAAAAAAAAUUGUCUUAUUGGGUUAGAUUUUUAUCUAAAAAGUAAAUAUAUAAAAAUAUGAAUAGUGUUGGUUUGUUUCGGUUUUUAUUGGUUUUUUAAAACUAAAUUCUAAUACCCAAACCAAUAAUCUUUGGUUUACAUUGGUUUGAUUUUUUACCCGCACCAAAAAUAACGGGUAAUGUUUGGGUUGGUUUGGAUGUUCGGUUUGAUUGGAUUUAUUUUGUCCACUUACACCCCUAUGUUAAGGAUUUAUUUUACUUCAAAUUAGGCUUAACUAUUUUAAUUUUUGUCCAUCUGAAGACUCCUUAACUUAUUCACAAUAGAAAGUAAUUGUGUCAAAACUAAGGAACCUCUUUAUCUAGCACACAUAAUUUCAAACUUUCAAUUUAGCCAUAACAAUAUGAUCAUCAUUAGGCCUUGCUCAAAAAUCAAAUGCAAUAAUGACUUAUAGGAUAAACUUCAAACACAUGAUUUAAGUAAAACAAGCCAACAAAGAACCAUAAAAAACACUACAAGAGGUCAAACAUCAAAAUUUAUCUUCUCCCUCCACAAUAGCAAUAAGCACGGUCCUCAAGGAAGAAUAUUAGAGUAGACUAAAUGAAUAAAUAAAAGAGAGAAAGUAAAAAUGAAUUCUUUGAAAGAGAUUGUUGUUAAAGCUUUUAUUUUCUAAAAAUAAAAAUAAUCAACAAAAAUAAUAAAUUUAAACUAGAAUAAAAUAUAAAAUAACUACAGUUUGUCUCUUGCAAAACAUUUGUUUGUUUAACGUUUCGAGCCUAACGAUAACGUAAGAAUUAAUCAGACGGCUUUCCCAUAGAAAAUUUCACCAUUAAAGCAUUACUCCUUAUUAACUUUCUAAUCAUCGAUUAUAUUAUUUUUCCUUUUUUACAUGUGGUGAAUGAGUUUCAGGAGAUGAUAAAAUUCUAAUUUCAUCUUCAUCCACCAUUAUGUUAGGGCCAUCGAAAUAAGAUAUUUUUCCAAAUGGUUUUGCCUUUUGAAAGCCUCAAAAUUGUCAUAACUAACCUUAUCAUUGAUAUUAUUAGCCUCAAUGAAGCUACAAGAAACAAAUGAAAAUGAGUUUUUUUUAAAAGAAUUAAACACUUUAAAUUCAGUCUCUUCAUCACCCAGUCUGAAAGUAAAUUUUUCCAGCUGAACAUCGAUCAAAGUUUUUUCGGUGGCCAAGAAGGGUUUAUCCAAUAUAAUUGGUACUUCAUCAUCUUCCUCUGUUUCUAAAACAACCAUAUCCGUAGGAAAAAAAUAAAUUUAUCCACUUUUACAAACACAUCCUCUAUUAUCCCACGAGGGUAGAUAAUAGAUCAGUCAGCAAGCUAUAGAGAAAUGUUAGUCGAUUAGGGUUCUUGUAAGCUGAACUACCUGAAAAACAAGAAGAGGCGUCAAAUUAAGAGUCGCUCCUAAAUCACAAAGUGCAACGUUUUCAAGAUAGUACAAGGAAUGGUAAAAAUAACAGGAUCCUUAAGCUUAGAGGGCAACGUUUUCAAGAUUAUAGCAAAGCAUUCCUUGUUAAGCUUAACCAUCUCAAAGUCCUCUAGUUUCUUUUUAUUAAAAAUGAGUUCUUCUAAACAUUUAGCAUACUUGGGCAUUUGAACAAUAGUUUCAACAAAAGUAAUAUUGAUAUGCAAUCUUUUAAAAAUCUCAAGGAAUCUAGCAAACUGCUUAUCAUUAUCCACAAUUUUCAAUCUUUGAGGGAAUGGAAUACUUACCCUGAUUAACUCGUGGUCUUCCUCGAUUUUGUUAGAACAAAGCUCAUUAUAAUGUACCUUUUUCCAUUUUGGUGUCAAGUUGUCCUUCCUUUUUAGGCACGGAAAUGACAUCAUUUCCACUCCUAAGCGUGAUAGCUUUAGCUUGUUCUUUUUGUAUUUGGCUUGUUUUUAGUAGGCAAUGAUCCCACAAACCUUUUGUUGAGACAAAAUCUCUCUCAAAUAGUUUUAAUGAUAACAAAAUUAAUUAAAAGAUUAUGAUUGAGGUUAAUGACUAAUAUAUGCUUUUGAGUGUAUCCAUAUAAGGAAAACAGAUUAUUAAUCAUUAAGACAAAAAGAAGAAAAAAUUUGGUUCAAUGCUGAAUAUGGAAAAUGCCGAGGAUGGCCUCAUGAGUUGGUGAAAACACUCUUGUGCGACUAAAGAAUGAAUUAUUUGAUUCAUUCAACAAAGGCAAAAUAGUAUUAAAGAAUGAAUUGUUUGAUUCAUUCAACAAAGGCAAAAUAGUAUUAAAGAAUGAAUUGUUUGAUUCAUUCAACAAAGGCAAAAUAGUAUUAAAGAAUGAAUUGUUUGAUUCAUUCAACAAAGGCAAAAUAGUAUUAAAGAAUGAAUUGUUUGAUUCAUUCAACAAAGGCAAAAUACUAUUAAAGAAUGAAUUGUUUGAUUCGUUCAACAAAGGCAAAAUACUAUUAAAGAAUGAAUAAAGAAAAGCUUUUGAAGAAAAGUAGUAAGGAGGCAAAAGAAAGGUACGAGGAAGGAUUACACAAGGAUGGGUCUAUAGUCAACAUCUUGAAAAACAUCCCAACACUUUAUGAAAGCAACCCAUCAUAUCAUAGGCAAAGACUACAAGUAGACCUAUAAGAUCACUCUUGUGUGAUUUAAAAAUAUUAUAAAGUCAAUCUUCAAAAAGGCAACAACAAACAAGUCAAAAAUGAAAUGAUCACAUGUCUUAAGGCAAGGAGAGAGAAAAGGACUUCACAUGUGAAGCCUUGAAGAAAGGAUUGAAAAAGACAUCACAUGUUCUUACAAGCAUUAAAUGAAGGAAAGAGAAAAAGUUCACAUGUGAAGCUUUAACAAGGCAUUGAAGAAAGGAGAACGAAAAUGACUUCACAUAAACUUACAAACAUUAAAGAAAGGAAAGAGAAAAGGACAACACAUGCCCCAAGUACCCAGAAAAUCUGCUACCUCGUACUUGAACAUGGAAUGCAUCUAUCCAAGGAGUUGAAUGACAUUUUCGUAAUUAUGAAGAAAAACCUUGGCAUUUCUAAAAUGGAUUUUCCAACGGUCAUAAAAAGCUUGGCAUAUGAAAUGAACAUUAUAAGACUUCUAUAAAAUGCAGCAAGCUCAUCUCAUCAAAGACACAACACAUUGCAUUAAAAAGAUCAAGGAUCUUAAAGCUUUUAAGAAGCAACGUUCAUCCUCUCUUCAUACUUUCUACAAUCCUACAUUAGAUCUUUGUUAAUCUUUUGAGAAAGUAUUUAAAAUCAAUCACUCUCAUAUCACAUUGUAAUUUCCACGUGAGAUACACUUGGAAAUAUUUGAAAUCUGAUUGUAAGCUUGGUGAAGCUUAAGAAUACACAAGUUGUAAUCAUCCUCUNNNNNNNNNNNNNNNNNNNNNNNNNNNNNNNNNNNNNNNNNNNNNNNNNNNNNNNNNNNNNNNNNNNNNNNNNNNNNNNNNNNNNNNNNNNNNNNNNNNNNNNNNNNNNNNNNNNNNNNNNNNNNNNNNNNNNNNNNNNNNNNNNNNNNNNNNNNNNNNNNNNNNNNNNNNNNNNNNNNNNNNNNNNNNNNNNNNNNNNNNNNNNNNNNNNNNNNNNNNNNNNNNNNNNNNNNNNNNNNNNNNNNNNNNNNNNNNNNNNNNNNNNNNNNNNNNNNNNNNNNNNNNNNNAUUUGAAAUCUGAUUGUAAGCUUGGUGAAGCUUAAGAAUACACUAGUUGUAAUCAUCCUUUGUCUGAGUUUGAUCUGUUUGAACAUUAGUGAAAUCUCACAAGGGUGUGAGGACUAGAAGUAGCCAUCUUUGGGUGAACCAGUAUAAAAACAAUGUGUGUCAAUCUUAUAUUUCCCUUUCACUCUUUAGCUUAGUUCAAAUCUGAAGGUUUUGAAAAACCCACCCUCGGGCUUGCCAUCCUCUACAAGAGGAUAGUUUUUAAAACACUUGAAAAUUAUUUUUAACAGCAAAAUCUCUAUUCAACCCCCCUUCUAGUGAUAUUUAGCUACAUCAAUUGACAUCAGAGCAAGGUCCUCUAGAAAAAUACACCUAACAGUGUAAGAGAAAAAGAUCCAAAAAUGUCUAAAGCUAAGUAUAUUCCUGAAGGAGGAUCAUCCAACCGACCUCCCUACUUUGAUGGCACAGAUUACUACCACUGGAAAGGUAAGAUGAGACUAUUUCUCAUAUCACAAGACAACAAUAUAUGGUCUAUGGUGGAAAAUGGAGAUCAUGUUAUCAGAACCAACAACGCAGAUGCAACCUCUGAUGUGAAACCUCAAGCACAAUGGACGGCUGGUGAAAAUGCAAAGGUACUCCUAAACUCUAAAGCUCAUUUAUUUCUAACGUGGGCUUUGAGCAGGGAAGAGUAUGAUAGAGUCGAAGAGUGCAAAAGCGCUAAGGAGCUCUGGGACACUCUAAGGAUCCAUCAUGAAGGAACAAGUCACGUGAAAGAAGCAAGAAUUGACAUGGGAGUAAGAGAUUUCGAACUAUUCGAAAUGAAGGAAGAGGAAACUAUUGAUGAAAUGUUCUUAAGGUUAACAAUCAUAUUGAAUAACUUGAGAUCUCUUGGAAAGGUAUACUCCGUUCAAGAAAGGAUAAGAAAAAUCCUAAGGAGUUUACCAAAAGAAUGGAGGCCAAUGGUGACUGCCAUUAUAGAAGCAAGAGACUUGACCAACAUGAAAUUGGAAGAUUUAGUUGGUACUCUAAGAGCUCAUGAACCAUUAUUGCUAGCUGACAAACCUAGCAGAAAAGGAAAAAUGGUUGCGCUAAAAACAAGUCAAGCAGAAAGUUCAUCCUCUAAGAAGACUGAAGAUGUCAUGAAAAAGGAAAGCUCGGAGUAUUCUCUAUCUGAGGAAGAGGAUGAACUCGCUCUGAUUUCCAGAAGAAUCCAGAGGAUGAUAAAUCGAAGAGGACAAGAUAGAAGAUCUCCUCAAAAAGAAAAAAUUGAUAAAAGUCAGAUAACUUGUUUUGGAUGCAACAAGAUGGGACACUACAAAACUGAGUGUCCUCUCAACAAAAGGAACUCAAGAAUAUUUCUCUACAAAAACAAAUCCAUGAUGAUUACUUGGGAUAACAGUGACGAGUCAUCCUCUGAGCAAGAGAAGGAAGAAGAAGCCAACCUCUGUCUCAUGGCAAAAUCAGAAACUGAAAAAGUUCAUCCUCUGAUCAACAAAAGAAAGCCUUGGUACUUGGACAGUGGUUGCUCAAGGCAUAUGACAGGGGAUAAGCAUUGCUUUAUUUCCUUGGAGAUAAAGGAUGGAUGAUCAGUCACAUUUGGUAACAAUGAUAAAGCUCAAAUAAAAGGAUUAUCCAUAUUUGAGUUUCUAGACUACCAAAUCGAGUUGAGAUUUGAUUAUCCAUAUCCAAAAACCUUUUGUUUGUCUUCUUUAUGAAUUUAUCUAGUACAUCUUGAAAGAUAUGGUUUCCUCUCUUCUUGCCUUUGCACAUGUGGUUGCUUGAAAAAAGUAGAGUUUUACUCUUGUUGUUCUUAUCCCCAAGAGAAAGCAGGGUGAUUCUUCCAACCUGGAUUGUAGGUAGAAGAAUAAAAGUCAUUCUAAGCGCGUUUGGUGUUGGUGACAUAGUUAGCUUCCUCAAUAUGAGUUGUUGGAAUUGAAUGAGUUUGUGUUUUACUUUAAAUGGCCUUCAACCUUUAAUUUGUUUGUACCAUAUAAUUUAACAGAACACCUAUACAAGGAUGUCCAAUUUUUUGCAUAUACUUCACCAAAGCAUCUUGCAUACUCUUCUUGGCAUCACCAUCUUUUUGGCUGACAUAGUUGGCUUCCUAAAUCUACUUAGUACAUGGAUGCCCAAUUUACUUUCACCAUUAAGUCCAAAAAAUUCACCAACAUCACCGAAAGGAGUGCAUGUAGAAGUUUGUUGAGCUUGUGCUGACAUAAGAGUCACAAGCUACUUAGUGAUUCUAUUUACCUCCAUUUUUAAUGUGUUAUUAGCCUCCACUUUGUACAUCCCAACUUACUGUUUAACAUGUCUAUUACUUGAACUCCAUUGACAACUAUUAGUAUCUAUUACUUCCACAAAGGCAUAUACUUCUUCAUGUUCUUUUUUAGAAUAUAGCCUCCACCAGCAACAUCAAUACUAAUUCUACUUUGAAUUGAAAGUCUAUUGUGCAAAAUUUGAACAAGUUGUCAUAUAUGGUAGCCAUGAUGCAUACAACUUUUGAUCAUGUGUUGGAAUCUUAUGCCUCAUAUAAGAAUGAAUGCUAAAAUUGAAAAAAGUUGGCGAUGUCAUUCCCAAGUUUAGCAGACCUGGAUGAAGGAAAUAUUUUUUCAAAAAGCUUUUGGUCUGUUGAUCCCAAGUAAUAGACUCAGCAGGUUGGGAUGACAACCCAUUUUAAGCCUUAUUUGUCAAAGACCAUGGAAAUAGCCUCAAUCUUAUGGCAUCUAUAAAAACACCAUUAUAUUUUAUGGUGGCUUCCAUCCUUAUGAUCCUCUUUAGAUGAACGUUGAGGUCUUCAGUUGGUAGUCCUCCAAAAAUAGUAGAGGUUUGACCCAUAGAUAUCAAGUCUGACUUAAGCUUGAAAUUGUUUGCCUCGACAACUAGGUUAACUAUGUUUUCAAUAAAAUCUAUCGUUAGAGUAAAAUAAUCCUUCAACGUUCUUGGUAAUCUUUCACAUAUUGCUCUUAUUUGUUCUCUUCGUCAAUGAGCAGUUCGUUCAAUUUUUGGAUCAAAUAGCAAAAUAAACUCCUGAAAAAGAGUGAACAUGCACAAAAAAUAGCAACAAAAAAAAAACUAAUAAAUUAAUAACAACUAAAUAAAUAAUUUUAAAAAAAAACUAAAGUGUAAAACAAAAUUGAAAUAAUAAUAAUAAUAACAACAACAACAAAGAAAAUAAAAUAUAUUAGUAAUAAUAACAACGAAAAAUAAAUCAAACAUAUUUAUCUUUUUUUUUUAUUAAAAUAGUUGAAAUUAAACUAAAUAAAAAAAAUGUCUAUAGUAGUCAAAAUCUUUUCCGCUUAAUAAUUCUAAGUUAAUCCCCGGAAACGACACCAAAAACUUGUUCCAAAUUCCGCGAGUGUACUGGUUUGCCAAAUAGUAGUAGUAUAUAAGAUUAUCGUAUUCACAUAGAUUAAUUCAACAACUACCAAAUUAAUCAAAAUUCAACAUUAUUUUGAAUAAUCAAAAUUAUUGUUAGUCUCUAAUAACGAAAACGCAAUGAUAACAUAAAAAUUAUAACGAGAAUAUAUAAUAACACAACUUUGAAUUGAUGGAAAGUAAACUAAAGGCCAUGGUUUUAUUUUUAAUAUCAAUAUCUUAAGUCCUACUUUUUCAUGAAUUCUUAUUUAUUUUCUCAAUUAUCAAUCCAUCUUUAAAACUAUUAACAAAAACUCAUCAUUCAAUAUAAUAUUCUUUUCUCUAAAUUAAUUCAUUGAUUAAUCAUACAAAAAAUAUAAUUAACAGAAAACAUAAAUAACCAAGAAGUUGAGUGAUUGAAAGAUUAGUAUCUAUGUUUCAUCAUACAAGAAUCCUAAGCUCAAUUAUUCUAUAGAUAUAUCAAUUAAUUAUAGUUGGUUAGUAGCCAUCAAGUGUAGAUGAAAGAAAACUCUCAAGUCCAUGAAAUCUGAGAUGAUUCUGAAACGUGAAUUCAACAACAUCAAAGUAUGCAAAAUCCAUAGUUCUUGCCUCAUUAAUUUUCCUCUUUGCAAAGUCUGUUGAUAGAGAGGGUUGUGCCUCCUUUUCCUUUGGUGCUGAGACCUUCUUGGGAAGUGGUGAAGAAUUAGGUUUCUUCUUCCUCUUUUGAGAUAUUUCCUUUAUGGCAUCAGCCAUGAACUUCUCUGUUGGGGGUUCCUUACGUUUCUUAGUCUUCUCUUGGAUUGGUGCAGGAGCCUUGCCCUUAUCUUUGGCAAGAAUUUUGUGAGUGGGUAUUGGUACUCUCUUUGUCAAAGUGGGUGGGGGUGAAGGUGUUUCACUUGUAGAAGAAGAUGAGGGUGAUGGAGUACGAGGUUGGGUCUGUUUCACACGAGCCAUAUUCGUAACUUGAUGUAGAUUCAAUGUAGGUAGAAAGUAGAAUGAAGAUGCUAAUAGAUGCAGAGACAGAAGAAUGAAGCAGACAAGAGAAAUCAGUGAAAGUCUGGAAAAUACAAUGCAGAAAUCGAUUUAGAACUGUUCCUAUUUAUACUCUUAACCUUGUAAAUCGAUUUCCCAAUCGAUUAGGUUACCGUUGCUGGGAAUCCUCAAUCGAUUCAGUAAUGAUGAUGUUCAACGGCUAGAAAAAUAAGAGUAACGGUCAUAUUUCAAAUCGAUGUUCAAAUCGAGUUCCAGUUUUACUUAAUCGAUUGUCUUAAGGUUUAACACUGAACUAAUCGAUUUCCAAAUCGACGCUCGUGAAGGUUUAAAAAAAACUUUCUGAACUUUGAAUCCUGGGCUAAAGUAAUCGAUUCCCAAAUCGAUUUUAUAAACCAUUUACCAUGCUGGUAAUCGAUUUCCAAAUCGAUUUAACUGGAAAACAUUACUGAAAAAUACCAGAAUCAACAAAAAUCAUACUUCACUAGGAUCAAUGAUCCCUAGUUUCAUCCUUAUAUGCAAAAAACUUUCUCUUGGCAAAGCUUUUGUGAAGAUAUCAGCUAACUGUUCUGUAGUGUUCACAUACUCAAGUUUGAUAACUCCAUUCUGAAAGUGGUCUCUUAUGAAGUGAUGCCUUACCUCAAUGUGUUUUGUCCUUGAGUGCAUUACUGGGUUCUUGGUUAUGCUGAUAGCACUUGUGUUAUCACACAUGAUCGGCACUGUUCCCAAAUCGACACCGAAGUCCAUUAAAUGCUGUUUCAUCCACAAAAUUUGAGCACAACAGCUCCCAGCUGCUAUGUAUUCAGCUUCUGCAGUAGACAAUGCAAUACUUGUUUGCUUCUUACUGAACCAAGACACUAGAGAAUUACCAAGCAGAUGACAAGUUCCUGAAGUACUCUUCCUGUCAAGUUUACAACCAGCAAAGUCUGAGUCUGAAUAACCAAUCAAUGUACAUGUUGAUCCUUUUGGAUACCACAAACCAAGACUUUUAGUACCUACCAAGUAUCUGAAAAUUCUCUUAACUGCACUGAAGUGAGAUUCCUUCGGAUUCGAUUGAUACCUUGCACACAUACAAACACUGAACAUAAUAUCUGGUCGGCUUGCUGUAAGGUAGAGCAGAGAUCCAAUCAUACCACGAAAUCUAGUGACAUCUACAGGCUUACCCUUCUCAUCUCGGUCUAAGAAAUUUCCUUGACUCAUGGGUGUAUCAAUGGACUUAAGUUUAUCAAAGUUAAAUUUCUUUAUCAAAUCAGAACAAUAUUUGGAUUGACUAAUGAAAAUGCCUUGCUUGCUUUGGUUAAUUUGAAAUCCCAAGAAAUAUGACAGUUCACCCAUCAUUGACAUUUCAAAUUUACCUUUCAUUAAAUUUUCAAAUUCUUUGCAAAGUUUAUCAUUUGUUGAUCCAAAUAUUAUGUCAUCAACAUAAAUUUGGACCAGCAAGAUGUCAUUUUCAGUAGUUUUUGUAAAGAGUGUCUUAUCAACAUUUCCUCUUGAAAAAUUUUGUUGAAUGAGGAAAGUGCUGAGUUUCUCAUACCAAGCUCUUGGAGCUUGUUUCAACCCAUAGAGGGCCUUUGAGAGUUUAUACACAUGGUUAGGAAAAUCUGGAUUUUCAAAACCUGGUGUUUGACUCACAAAAACUUCCUCUUGGAGGUCUCCAUUGAGAAAGGCACUCUUCACAUCCAUUUGAUAUAGAUUGAAGUCCAUGAUACAUGCAUAAGCCAAUAAAAUUCUUAUGGCUUCUAGUCUAGCUACUGGGGCAUAGGUCUCAUCAAAGUCUAUUCCCUCCUCUUGACUAUAACCCUUUGCAACUAAUCUGGCUUUAUUCCUAGUUAUCACACCAUUCUCAUCUAACUUAUUUCUGAACACCCACCUAGUUCCUAUAACAUGCUUACCCUCUGGCCUAGGUACCAAGUUCCACACCUUGUUUCUCUCAAACUGGUUUAACUCCUCUUGCAUAGCAAGUAUCCACUCACUAUCUAAAAGGGCUUCCUUAAUGUUCUUAGGUUCAAUCUGAGAUACAAAGGCUGUAAAGUUACAAAACUGACUAAGGCUUCUCCUAGUUGCAACACCUUUAGAGAUAUCGCCUAUAAUGUUGUCUAAAGGGUGGUUUCGGUUGAACUUCCAUUCCUUAGGCAACUCACAGGUUUCUAUAGGUUCUACAGGGUCUGCACUAGUUGGAGGGUCAGCUAUAGGUUGUUCUAGUGGUUCAGAUUCUACAACAUCAUCCAAAAUGUCAAUAACCUUAGAAGGAGUUUUGUUCAAGUUUUCUGUAAAAGAUUCAUCAAACUUUACAUGAACUGACUCUUCUAUGGUUUUUGUUCUUUUGUUGUAGAUUCUAUAGGCCUUACUAGUUUGGGAAUAUCCUAGAAAGAUACCUUCAUCUGCCUUAGGGUCAAACUUUCCUAGGUGUUCUUUGCCAUUGUUUAAAACAAAGCAUUUACAACCAAAGAUUCUAAAGUAGGACAGGUUUGGUUUUCUACCCUUGUAAAGCUCAUAGGGUGUUUUCCUAAGCAGGGGCCUAAUGAGAACUCUAUUCACAACAUGGGUGGCUGUACUAAUUGCAUCUGCCCAAAAGUACUUAGGUAGGUUGGAGUCCUUAAGCAUGGUCCUAGCUAACUCUUCUAGGGAUCUAUUUUUCCUCUCCACUACCCCAUUCUGCUGUGGUGUCCUAGGGGCUGAAUAGAUGUGGUUGAUUCCAUUUGAUUCACAAUAAUUUUGAAAAAGAUCAUUUUGGAAUUCACCUCCAUGAUCACUUUUUAUUGAAACAAUUUUCAAAUCAUUCUCAUUUUGUACUAAAGCAGCAAACUUUUUGAAAACAGAGAAUGUAUCACUUUUAUGAGCUAAAAAGUAAGUCCAUGUGAAUCUAGAAUAAUCAUCAACCAGCACAUAUCCAUACAGGUUUCCACCUAAACUCUUAACUUGGGCAGGUCCAAAAAGGUCCAUGUGAACUAGUUGUAAAACUCUAUUUGUUCUAACCAAGUCUAUAGAGGGAAAUGGAGUCUUAACCAGUUUACUUUUCUCACAUGCAUCACACAGUCUAUCUUUAGAGAACUUCCUAUUUGGUAGACCUAAGACUAACUGUUUGCUGACAAGUUUAUUCAAAUGAUUUAUGUGUAUAUGAGCAAUUCUUUUAUGCCAAAGCCAUGUUUCAUCUGAGUUGGAUAACAAGCAGCAUACAGCACUAGGUACAGAAUUGAAAUCCAACAUGUAAAUGUUGUUGAUUCUGUCCCCAAUUAGCUUUAUGUGUUUGUCAUCUUUAUGCUCAAUAAUGCAAGAUUGUGAUGAAAAACUUACUUGAAAACCUUUGUCACAUAGCUGGCUUAUACUCAGUAAGUUGUGCUUUAAUCCUUCAACAUAUAGCACAUUUUUGAUUACUGCAGUUGAUUCAUCGCCUACAUCACCAAUUCCAAUGAUUUUUCCUCUGUUGUUAUCACCAUAUUUGACAAAGCCUCCUUCCUUUAAUGUCAAGUUCAGGAAUUUGGAUUUGUCACCAGUCAUGUGCUUUGAGCAUCCGCUAUCUAGAUACCAUGAGUGUUUCGUGGAUGUCAAGCACACCUGCAAUACAAAAUCAGAAUUUUGUUUUAGGUCCCCAAUUUAAAUUGGGUCCUGGUUGGUUAGUGUCAAACACAGAUUUCUUUUCUAUCCAAACUAGCUUCCAUCCUUGAUUGGCUAAUUUUUUAAAUUUGCAAUUAGACACAAAAUGUCCCUUUCUGCAACAGAAAUGACAUCUGCCAUCAAAGGAUGAAUGUUUAUUUGGUUUAGUAAAGAUGUCAUACAUACUCUUAGCAAUAGCAGAUUUUUGACCAUGUUUGACAUUUCUGGUUUGCAUAUAACCAAUACCAGAUCUGUUUUUAUUUUUUCUUUUGACAUGCAUAUUUGGUGUAUAUCCUAAACCAGAUUUUUCAUGAACAUGUCUUUGAUUGCUAAGUAUGACAUUUAGCUUAUCUUUACUAUUUGCAAAAUUUAAUAAAUCAGAUUUUAAUGAUGCAACAGUAUUUUCAAGUUCAAUGCACUUUGCAGAUUUUUCUUGUGAAUCCUUUUUCAGUUGUUCACAUAAAUUUUCAAUUUCUUUAUGCUCAACAUUCAUUUGUUCAAGCAUUUUCUUUGUGCUUAACAACUGUUUUAUGGAAUUCACAUAAUCAUCAUGCAGUUCAUUGAAAGCUUCUUGAAGUUCAUCAUAGGUUGGAUUAGAUUGUGAACUAACCUCAUUUUCUGAUUCUGAAUCUGUAUCUGCCAUGAGACACAAGUUGACUUCUUCUUCAUCAGAAGAUGCAGAGGAUUCAUCGUUAUCAUUCCAUGCAAUAUAAGCUUUUCUGGUUUUGGUGACUGGUUCCUUGCCUUUUGAUUUUGUAGCUCUAUUCUUGUUUUGCAAUUUGUAGCAUUCUGACUUUAUGUGACCAGUUUUACCACAUUCAUAGCAUGUAAUGGUCUUGUUGUCAGUAGUCUUGGAGCUAGAUGGUUUUCUGAAUUUGUUGUCUUUCUUCUUCAGAAACUUCUUGAAUUUCUUGACAAGCAACCCGAUUUCCGGCUCUUCAGAUUCACUACUGGAUUGAUCUGAGCAGCUAUCUGAUUCAGUUUUCGAUUGCUGGGCUUGAACCUUCAGGGAUAGUCCUUUCUUUUUGCGGCUUUCCAUCUCUGAUUCGUCCAGUCGAUGUAAUUCCAUUUCGUGUUCUCUUAGUUUACCAAACAAAGUUGCAGUCGUCAUCUUUGCUAGAUCUUUAGAUUCUGCUAUGGCUGUUAUCUUUGGCUGCCAUUCUCUGGUUAGACAACUCAUAAUUUUUCCAAUCUGCUGUUCGUUGUCCACUUGCUUUCCCAAUGCGUGAAGAUUAUUCACAAUGUGUGUGAAUCUGGUUUGCAGAUCGCUGAUGGAUUCGUCCUUUUUCAUGCUGAAUAAUUCAUAUUCGUGCAUAAGUGUGUUUACGCGAGCUCUCUUCACAUCUGUGGUUCCUUCAUGUGUUUCUUGAAGAAUGUCCCACAUUUCUUUUGCUGACUUGCAGUUUGACACUCUAAAAAAUUCUUCUGCACAAAGAGCAGAUGUUAUAAUGUUCUUAGCCUUAGCAUUAUAACCUACCUUUUUCUUGUCAUCAUCUGACCAGUCGGCUCUAGGCUUGAGAAUCAUUGAGUCAUUCGUUCCUGCAAUCUUGGGAAUAUAUGGACCGUUUUCAACAGCGUCAAGGAUGUCUAUGCCACUGGCUUCCAAGAAGAUUAGCAUCCGGUGCUUCCAGUACAUAUAAGCUGUUCCGUUGAAAGCUGGAGGUCUUGCUAACGAUGCGCCUUCUCCCAGAAAAUCGUUUGAGGCCAUAGUGCUUUUAUGAGUAUUACCUCUCGAAAAGUUAGGCUCUGAGGCCAAUUGUUGGUAUAUAUGACCUCGUAAUAAGCGGAAUAUAUCAGAAUGUAUCAGUUCUUUAUGAAAUUAAAUCAAUUUCAUACACACAGCGGAAAUUAAAUUGUGGCAUACAAGAUUAGCAAGUUUUAUUAGAUUGAUAUGAGAUUAAUCAAGAUGCAUACAAGUCAAAUUAUCAGAUUAAACAAUAUUACUUAUUACAGAAUAUGUUUAACAUGCAUCUAAUUUUAAUCACAUAUACAGAUAUAUCAAGAUAGUAAAUCAAAGGAGAUAAGGGUUAGAGAAGAUUGCACCAAGGAUUUAUACUGGUUCAGUUGUCCACUUGACAACCUACAUCCAGUCCUGCAAAUCCAAACGGAUUUCAGAUUUUCUUCUCCAAUAGAAAGAAUCAAUUACAGAUUGUCCAGUUUCCUCCCCGAAACCUAUCUAUCUUAAUGAUCUCUUUCCUAUUGAUCACCCUCUGAUCCUUGUAGAUACUCAGCAACCUAUCACAGAAUCAAAGUACAACUCUUUCUUGUUGAGCACUCUCACCCAAGAAAGUAGUCACCAGUUUCUAGCUGGAUUUUCUCGCUUUGUUUUUGUUUCAAAGAAUUAUUACAAACAGAAUACAGAAAGAACAAAAAGUAGUCUUCAAUCUUGGUCAAAAUGGCUUCUCACAAUUCUGGAUAUCAAAGAUUUGUUUAUGAGAAUCCUUGUCUUUCAAGAUCACUUUUCCAGCUAUCUUUUUGAUUGUUGAUAAUCCUCUUUUUCUAUUUGAUCUGAAAAAGUAAUCUCAAUGUAUUAACCAAGUGUUAUUGUGUAUCAAGAAUAUUCAAUGUAUAUUUCAGAUUGAUAUCAUUGUUAUUAUCAUUCAUGUUAUUGAAAGACAGAUUGAAGACAGUUUAUAUAGUUUCUGAAAAACACAUUAAUCAAUCGAUUUACCAAUCGAUUUCGUAAAGUGAUAAACCAGUCUAAUCGAUUUGCCAAUCGAUUAUCGUGUGUCUUGUUUUUCUUGAAUCUUGAAACUAUAUAACCCAAUCGAUUUACCAAUCGAUUCUUUAAACAACAUUUCUCAGUGAUUAUGUUAAGACUGAUAUGAAUCGAUUUCGUAAUCGAUUGCAGAUGUUAUGUUCAAACUGAAACACAUAUCAAUCGAUUCCAUAAUCGAUUUAUCAAAUCUUCAUAAUCGAUUAACAAAUACUUAAAAUCGAUUUGGUCACACGCUCAGAGUUCACUGGGUUUUCAAAAGGUUUUGUCAAUCGAUUUGCCAAUCGAUUGAGUUUAAGUCAGUGACUCAGCUAUUUUGAUACUAAUCGACGUGCCAAUCGAUUUGUAUGUAUUUGUCUGAAAACGUUCUUACCUGGGAUUUGGUUCAAUCGAUUUCCCAAUCGAUUUCGACCAAAUUUAACUUGAUUGAAAUAUUACAACAUAGAUUGUCCAAUCGAUUUGUAUGUCACAGGAAAAGUUAUUUUGCAAGUGAUUUUUAAGUAAUCGAUUUGCCAAUCGAUUACCCUUAAAACUGGGUUUCCACUGUGACUUAUCCAAUCGAUUUCCCAAUCGAUUUAUUUCAAUCAGGUUUACUUUGUGAAUUGUAUAAUCGAUUUGUCAAUCGAUUACCCUCAAAACUGGGGUGCCACUGACUUGUGCAUUUUCAAUUUCUAAUUCAGUCAGUCGAUUGCCCAAUCGAUUAUACCAACACAAACAGUUGUGUUUCCUUACACCUUUGUUAUGAAAUCGAUUUCCCAAUCGAUUUGCUUCAAUCAAAAAUCAACUUUUGUUGAUUUCUUGUGUUUCAAGCAACCUGUUCCAAGUGUGUAGGAUUUGAUUGUUGUUCCUGAAAUCUUGCUCAAUUCAAAUAUUAGAUUUAUCAUGUAUUGUAUGAACAUUGUUGAAUUAUUAAUUAUGUCAAAAUUAGGAAUCAAAGGAUCAAAAUCCAACAAUCUCCCCCUUUUUGGCAUAAUUGACAAUUCAUACAAUUGUAACUUGAGCAUUUCAAAACAACAAGCAUAAGUGUAUUAUAAACAACAUUAUUACUUGUUAUUAAGUAACAGAGCAAACUAUAUCAUAAGUAUCAAAGUAAUAACAACAUGCAGACAAACAUCAACAAUGCAACUGUCAAGUUAUAAUAUUUCUCCCCCUUUGUCAUUUAAGUCAAAAAGGUAGAAACAAUUUCUCCCCCUAUGUUAAAGAACAUAUGCAUUGGGUUUGAAACAUAUAACACAGUGCAUCAAAAACAAUGAAGUUUAUAUGUAUAAAGGCAAAAUCAAUCAAUGCAAUUAAUGAGCAACUUAGAUGAUUAAGCCAAAUGAUAUAACAUUUAUAAAAAAUCAUCAUACAUCACAGAAUUAUAACAAGUCAGAGCAAAACAGUAUCAAACCUAAGGAUCCUAAACACCUAGUGUGGGCUGGUCCUCACUAUCAUCUAAGGGAGAGGUUGAGACCGCUGUAUUAACCUCAGCAGGUGUCUCCUCACCGUGAGUCUCAGGGUUAACUAGGGGGUUUGGGUUAGGUUCAUCCGUAGCUUGUCGACCAAUCUCUGCGACGUCUUCAAAUGACAGUUUGAUGCCGAGGUGUGUCUGAAUCUCAUCCACAUUUUGAACAACUGAGUUCAAGGAGGCUUGCAUAGUCCUUAAACUUGCUUCUACUCUGGACUGAAAUUCCAACACUUUGGCAUUGUGUGCCAUCUGAGCUUCAAUGAAUUCCAAAAUUCUGUUCACAAAAUCAGGAGUAGCAGAUUCAGUAACUGGUGGAGGCUGAGACUGAGGUUGAGGUUGGGGCUGGACAGGGUCAGCAGCUGCUUGAGGUCUUAUCCAUUUACCAUGUAAUCGCUUCAGUUGCAUCUGAUUCACUAUCGAUUCACCAAACACCAAUGUCGUUUUAGCAGAUUCCUCAUUUCCAAAUGAGACCUUGAAGUGUUUGAGAAUUUUAGUUAUCAACUGUGGAUAAGGCAGCAUCAGCUUGCUUUGAGAUGCUUCCAACAUGUGCCUUAGCACAAUCCAACACCAGCUCAUCCUUAACUCUUUGGAUAAGCCCCACAACAGUAUGAUGUCCAACUUCUGGACUACUGCGUGAUUUCCCGAUCGUGGAACCAGCAUACGCGUCAAAGCAUACAUCAACAUCCUCUGUUGAACCUUCAUCUGACCAAUGGGCAGUGAAAUCGAUUCAACAAACCCAUCGACCAUCAGGUCUUUAACUGCGGUAUGCCUAUCAAGUGUUUCUUCCCAACCUUCAUCGGCAGUGUCGGCUUCUGUGCUGCCAUCAAUAGAUUUGCCGUAGAAAGGCAAUCCAGAUAAAGUUGAGAAAUCAUCAAAAGUCAUUGUAAUUCUUUUUCCCUUAACUGAAGCAGUAAAACCUUCUUCAGUCAUCUUGAAUGUAGAAUAAAACUCCCUGAUCAGCCUUGGAUAGCUGUCGAGUGUAGAAGACAGAAAACUUUCCAAUCCAUGAAACCUGAGGUGGUUCUGAAAAGUAAAUUCCACAACAUCAAAAUAUUCAAAAUCCAUGGUUCUAGCUUCAUGAAUUUUCCUUUUUGCGAAGUCUGUAGACAAAGAUGGUUGUACCUCCUUUUCCUUAGGUGCAGAGACCUUCUUAGGAGGUGGAGAAGAAGUAGGCUUCUUCUUCCUUUUCUGAGUAAUUACUUUCAUGGCAUCAGCCAUGAGCUUUUCAGUAGGGGGCUCUUUGCGUUUCUUCGACUUUUCCUGGAUUGGGGCAGGAGCUUUUCCUUUAUCCUUUGCAAGUAUUUUGUGAGUUGGGAUGGGUACUCUUUUUGUUAAAGUUGGAGGUGGUGAUGGUGUUUCACUGGUGGAAGAAGAUGAUGGAGAUGGAGUGCGUGCUUGAGUCUGUUUUACUCGGGCCAUAUCAACAAUUUUGUGUAGAUUCGAAGUAGGUAGAAUGUAGAAUGCAGAUUCAAACAAAUGCAGAGACAGAAGAAUGAAGAACACAAGAGAAAAGCAGAGAAAAUCUGGAAAACAAAGUGCAGAAAUCGAUUUAGAACUGUUCCUUUUAUACUCUUGACCUAGUAAAUCGAUUUCCCAAUCGAUUAGGUUACCGUUGCUGGGAAUCCUCAAUCGAUUCAGUAAUGAUGAAGUGCCAACGGCUAGUAACUUUGAGUAACGGUCAUAUUUCAAAUCGAUGUUCAAAUCGAAUUCCAGUUUUACUUAAUCGAUUCCCAAAUCGAUUGUCUUAAGGUUGAACACUUAGCUAAUCGAUUUCCAAAUCGAUGCUCGUGAAGGUUAAAAAAAAAUUUCUGAAAUUUUGAAUCCUGGGCUAAAGUAAUCGAUUCCCAAAUCGAUUUUAUAAACCUUUUACCAUGCUGGUAAUCGAUUUCCAAAUCGAUGUAACUGGAAAACAUUACUGAAAAGUACCAGAAUCAUCAAAAACUUACACUUCACUAGGAUCAAUGAUCCCUAGUUUCAUCCUUAUGUUCAAAAAACUUUCUUUUGGCAAUGCUUUUGUGAAGAUAUCAGCUAAUUGUUCUGUAGUGUUCACAUACUCAAGUUUACUUGAAUGGGUUCCAUGUACCAUUUGUUGUUGUGUAAAUGUUUUGGAUUUAUAAUUGGAGAAACUCUUCCGCUGUUUGUAAAUUAUAAUGACUCAAUUAUUUAUCCAAAGACAUUUUCUGAUUUAAUUCUCUGUUUUAUUUUAAUUCCUUUUGGAAAAAAAAAUAUACCCUCGCUUUGAAAAACGGGGUGUUACACAACCAAACUUAACUUGAUUGAAAUUUCACACAAUAGAUUGUCCAAUCGAUUGUGUUUGUCACAGGGAAAGUUAUUUUGCAAAUAGUAUUUGAGCAAUCGAUUUGCCAAUCGAUUACCCUCAAAACUGGGGUGUCACUGUGACUUGUACAAUCGAUUUCCCAAUCGAUUUAUUUCAAUCAGGUUUACUUUGUGAAAUGUAUAAUCGAUUUGUCAAUCGAUUAGCCUGUAAAACAGGGUGCCACUGACUUGUGCAGUUUUCAUUUCUAAUUUAGUCAAUCGAUUAUACCAUCACAAACAGUUGUGUUUCCUUACACCCUUGUUAUGAAAUCGAUUUCCCAAUCGAUUUACUCAGUCAAAAAUCAACUUUUGUUGAUUUCUUGUGUUCCAAGCAAUAUGUUCCAAGUGUGUAGGAUUGGAUUGUUGUUCCUGAAAUCUUGCUCAAUUCAAAUAUUAGAUUUAUCAUAUUAUGUAUGAACAUUGUAUGUUUGUUAAUUAUGUCAAAAUUAGGAUUCAAAGGACUAAAGUCCAACAAGUUACUCAUUGACAUAUAGAAAAUAAAGUAAAUUAUAGAAGUGUUGAUCAAUUAACAGAAAAUAAAUAAAACCAUCAAAGAGUAUAUUUUUUGCUCCAAAAUUUGAGACACUUUGCUCCAUCUCUAACCACUCCUAAGUUUCCAAAGUGUUUGUCUUUAUUUUUUUCUCUAUUUGUUUUUUACUUCUCCGUAUCUGCUUAUGAUUUCUCCUCCUUAUGAUAGCAAGAAGAUCCAAUUUUUUUGCUUUCCCCCUUCUUUGCCAACAUUUUCCUAUCAUAAAAUUCAAUCUAUUUGGAGUGUGCAACAAACCUUCUUCUUGUACUCAUAAGUUGGAAUAUUAAACUUUAUAUUUUUGGACUAAAAGCUUAGUAGAUUUGAUCAAUUUGAAUUUUUUUUGCAUCUCAUGAUUAAUUCUACAAAUACGAUAAAUAAAGGAAUAACAAGAAGUUGAAAUUAAAACUAUAAAAUAAGAUAAAAUAGAGAACGAAUACCCUAUCAAAAUUCUAUAAAAAUAGGUUUAUACAUUUUUUUGCUAGACUAUUAUUACUUGUUACAAAGCUAAAAUUCUGAAAAGAGAAAAAUAAAAUAAAUUUAUAAAUUGAUCAAAGCAAGUUGAACAAGAAAUUUUAAAAAGUACCCUUUAACAUUAUUUUUUACUUAAAUAAAAAGAAAAAAACCACUAAAAUUGUACAUUACUUUUCUAGCAUGUGACCAACGCUAGAAAAAAUCAUUCAGUAAUAAAGAAAACUUAAAUACAUCAUGACAUCAUGACGAAAUAAUUAAUAUUUUUGUUUGGAUAGUCAUAAGAAAACAACAAUAAUAAUAACCAUAAAACUAAAAAUCUUGGUAUAACUAAGAUCUAUAUUUCAAUCCGCGCGUUGCGCCGGUGUCUUGAGAUUUAUUUUUCAAAAAUUAGUAAGCAUUAGAAAUAUAAGAUAUAUAUAAUUUAUAAGUUUCCUUUAGAAUUAAUCUUUUAUAUAAGUCUCAUUUGACAUUUUGUUUCGUAAACUAACACUCUUAUUAUAUAAACUUUAUAUCUUAGUAGCAUAAAUGUAAUGGCUUAGAUAUCAAAUCAAACACAAUAGUUGUAUUUACAAUUUUAUUUUACACAUUUUUAUUUAUAAUUAUAAUCCCAAAAUAAUAAUAGUUAAUUAGAUGUAUGAAUUAUAGAGAAGGAAAUGGACAGUAAAGUGUUAGUCAUGUCACAAAAGAAUAACUUGAAAAAAUAUUAAAAGUGACAUUAGCCUAUAUAAAAUUCACAAGGUAGCUAAAUAAAUUAAAAAGUGGUUGAAUGAUUUGAAUUAAUAAUAAUAAUUACUUUUCUUUCUACCGUAAUAGGUUAUCUUAAAGAAAAAAUUUGAACCAAAAUAAAUGUAUAACUUAAGUGCAGCUUAAAAAAGACAUUAAUUAAAUUCGAUUAGGAAAAUAUGUGCAUUUAGAAUAGAAUAAUUCUCGAACUCUAUAGAAACUUUAUUUUUAUUGUAUUAGUGUGAAAAGUAACAUCACUCUUCAAGAUAAGUGUUUCAUCCGUCUCAUUUUAAAUAUAUCAUUUGAGGUGUGUAUAAUUCUUUAGAAAAUUAUUAGUUGAUUUGAUUUCAAUGAUAAAAUGUUUAAUUUACUCAAAUAUUUUUAUAAAUUGUAGUUAGCGGGAAAAUUUGAUGAGUUGAAAUAUAAUAAAUAAAAGUAUUAGUGAAAAAAAAGUAAUUAAUGUUGUAUUGGAAUUGUAAAAUGAUAAAUAGUUUGAGACAAAAAGAAAUAACAAAUGAUGCAUUUAAAAUGAGAUAGAGGAAAUAAUUGUUUCCUUGUAAACUUGACUUGUCAUAAUGGAAUAACAAUUUAUAGAUUUUUGAAAAAUCUAAAACAUUUGGUUUAAACCUAAUUUGUAGCCUCCAUCUGUUCAUCUCCAACUAACAUGUCUCUUGUGUCAGGUCUUUUUUGUCGAGUUAUAUGAACCAAAAGCAAUAAAUAUAAUGUCACUCAUGAUACAAUUAUAACGCAUAAGGAAAUAUUGAAAUUUGAUUUGGAGAACGUAAAGUUAAAAAUAUGGACUAGAUAUUUCAAAUUAUCAUGUAAACAAAUGUGUUGUUAUUAUUGUUUCUUAAUUACUGUGGGCACUUUAAUUUUCCAAGAAUUGUGUAAAUUUAAACCAUUAUCUAGUUAAUUUAUUACACUAAAAAAUAUGAAUUGUAACAAUGGAUCUACUUUGAAUGAUGGAAAUUAGGAACUAUCAAGACCUUAUGGUUUAAAAAAAGAAGAGGAAAUUACCUAAUAAAAAAUUGCUAAAAAGAGACAAAACAUACGGUUUAUUGAAUGAAAUAUCAAUAAUUGACAUCAACAUAAAUUAAAUAAAUUAGAUAUUUUUUAUUAUUGAUAUUGUAAAUGAAAGAUAACAUAAAAAUUAUAUAACUAAAUAUUAGACAUAAAAUAGAACACGCAUUUCUAGUGGCUAGUAAUCCCCAGUGGAAGAAGAAGAUGUUCAUGAAGGAGAAAAGUAUACCAAAGUUAGUUACUCAAAUGAAUAUUAACAUCAGUUGCAUUUCAUCAAACACCACAAAAGCAUGUCUCGAGGUUGUGAUAUUGUGUCUUCUUGAAUUUUGGUUAAGCCAAGAAAAAAAGAAUAGAUAUUUGGACUUAUAUUGGAAAUGGUUACAUAAUAAAUUCAUAUUUAAUAAACGGUAAAUAUAUAACAGAGAAACGUUCAUUGCAUUAUGAGCUAUUAUUAAUGUUUGUUUUUUUUAUUAUUUUUGUUGUUGUUGAGGAAAUAAAAUGUAUUAGAUGAAAUAAAAUUGUGUACUAUAUGAAGAAUAGAAAGAGAUGAGAUUCUAACUCUAACAACUAAGCAAAUAAGUAAGGUGACACAGAUAAAAUUAUGUAACAUAAAAUGUUAUUAGGUGUCAAAUGAAUGGUUUGGUAGUCCUAUAUUAAUAGAAUAUUUUUUUAGAUUUAAUCUGGUUGCUUAUGUCAUUCCAUAUCUCCCACUAAGCCAAUCAUCUAACAUCAAUGGAAAUAAGAAAUAAGACUUUGUUUGGCUAAAAGCGAAAAGUGAGGCUUUAAUGGAAUCAAUGACUAAGAAUUAAGAGUAGAUACAAAACACCGUAUAACUUUUCGUCUAACCAAUCCAAACCCUUAGGAUUUGUUUUAUAUUUUAUUUGUAAAGUUUCAUACUGUACACCCUUUAUUUUAUGAUUAUAUCAUUUUUUUUCUUCUACUCUCAAUUUUUUUUAUUGUUACAUUUUGUUGUCUUUUUUUUUUUUUUUUGUCAAUGACAAAAGAGAAGAAAGAUAUGACAACAAAUUUUUGCUUUGAGAGAAGUGUGUGAGAUUUAUUUAAAAAAGGGGAUAACUUUUUUCCUUAGAAAACCUAUGAACGUUGUUAACUUUUCAAAAGAAAAAGGAACAUAUGUUAAAGAAUAGUAACAGAAAUAGUCAAUCAUCUAUUAAGAACAACUUUUCAGUACUCUAUCAAAAACAAGUUUGACUUAAGUCAAUCCUCUGAUUGAAGCAUCUACAACAACUUCUUUUGAAUUAUUCGAUUCAAGCGUCUGAAAUGAGAAUGAUCCUAUGAUCACAUCCUCUAAUUAUUAUGACAUGACAUAAAAAUAUAUUAUCUUAAAAAGGAAUGAAGCGCGGAAAUUGUACAAUGAUUUCCUACAAUGAUCAGAAAACCUAAAGGAAUCAACGAGCUCUAUAUAAAGAAAUGUUUGUGUAGCAAUUCAAAAAGACAAGACUAAAAUAAGAAGAGAAACAUAAAACACCACGUUGAGAGAAGAAUCUUUAAAGAAAAGAACAAACUUUCUCUACAACAAAUUUUUUGUAAUAUUGAAAAAAGAAAAGCUCUUAAAAAAAAUUUACUAAGAAUUUGUCAUUGUAAUGCCCUCUUAAAAAGAGAUACCCAGAAGCACUUGAAACAAUUUCAUCUUUAUACCUUAGCCUAGUAGUGCCUAUGAACCUCAAAAGUUUGAAUGUAUUAAGUUAGAAGUUUGAGAACACUAUCUGGUGACUUGAAGAUGUUUUAGUAGUUGAAAGAAAUCAAUGUGAUUUAGUGGAUGAAAUCCUUGAGUGAUAAAAGGGACUAGCUAUAGCUACCGUUUUGGUGGUGAACUAUGAUAAAUCGGUUUUGUGAUCUCUCUUCCUUAUCUCUUUAUUUUUGUGUUAAAGUUAUUUUCUUAAAAUAUAUCUUAAGUUUCUAACCAUAAAUCUUUUUAAGAGAAAAUGUUUUAAAUUUAAAAACACAAUUCAAAACUUCAUUUAUUGUGUUUUUCAACCUUUAGAAGUAACAUUUGAGCUUAUAGUGUUUCAUGUUUUCUUUCAUUUUUACCCUCAUUAUCUUAGUUGAAUUUUUUAAAUAUUAAUUAAAAAUAUUGUUAGCUUGUCUGCUAUCUUCUAUUAAAGGGAGGCAUUUUGUAAUUGUCGAAGUUUCAAAAGUCUCGGGUUGAAUGAGGUAAAUUUUAGUUUUUUGAAAGAAUUACAGAGAGAUUUUAAACUUGAUUUUGUGAGAUUUAUGGAGGAGUUUCAUGUGAAUGAAAGAUUGGUGAGAGGUUCCAACAAUAUGAUAAUUGUGCUUAUUCCAAAAAAAGGUAAUCCUUAUAGUAUGAAUAUUUUUCGGCCUAUCUCUCUCUAUUGUGGGUUGCAUGUAUGAGGUCCUAACAAAAGUGUUGGUGAAUAGAUUGAAAAACAUCAUUGGUAAAUUCAUUUCAUAUUUCAAUCGGCGUUUGUUGAUGGUGACAAAUUUUUGAUAGAAUUCUAAUUGCAAAUAAAAUUAUUGAUGAGGCAAUAACGAGAAAGGAAUUGAUCAUGUUCAAAGUAUAUUUUGAAUAAGCGUAUGAUUUUAUGGCAAAAAUUGAUGUUGGAAUGUGUUAGUUCUAUGGAGGCGUUAGUUCUUGUCAAUUAGGUCUCCCACUGAUGAGUUUCCUUUAUUUCAAGGUUUGCAUUAGAGCAACCCCAUUUCUCCUUUUUAAUUCUUAUUAACUGUUGGAGGUUUUAACUCCAUUAUGUGUGCUUCGAUUACAAAUGAGUUGUUUGAUGAUUACAUAGUGGAUGAAAUCGGGGAGUGUUGUGUCUCCCAUUUGUCGUUUGUAGAUAAUACGGUAAUCAUGGGCAACAAAUGUUAAAGCAAUCAAAUCCAUUUAAUUAGAGCAUGAUGAUGGGAGUUAAUGCUAGUGACUCUUGGUUGAUAGAAGUUGCGGAUGGACUGCAUUACAAAGUUGCGGAUGGACUGCAUUACAAAGUUGAUAUAAUGUAAUUGCAAGGUGUCUCAUGGUUAGUUUUCUUUUAGAGUUAGUGUUUUGAGUGAUGUCAACUUAUUUAGUUUAGAUGGUGUUUUGAGUGUGUGCUUUAUUGAUUUUCCUUCUCUAACUUUUACAGAGACCACUUGAUCAAGAAAGAUUGCGUAAGAAAGAAAUUUUUAUCAUGCAUAAGCUUAUUUACAUGUGUUUUAGCAUGUAUUAAGUUUGAAGCAUGAUAUUAUUGUAUUGGUAAUAUUUGAAACUCAUUUCAAAUUAUUUUUUAAGUGGUUUUUCUUUUAUAAAUCGAUUUACACACUUAUGAAUCGACCCAUGAAUUUCAAAAAUUCAGUUCUUGAAGUCCUAAGACCGUGAAUAAACUCACAAAUAAUAUGAAUCAAAUCAUCAAUAAUGCAAUAUUUGAGUCGACAUACAACUGUGUGAAUCGACUCAACAACUUCAAACUUAAAAUUUGACUUUUCAAUCGGUGUGAGUUGUAAGAUUCGAUAAUUUUUUUAACCACUUAUUUAUUAGAAAUUACAUUUAUAUCGAUUGUUGGUGAAAAUUUAUUAUGUUAAUCAACAAUUAGAUAUAUAUGUCUUUGAUCAUGUCUUUAUUUUAUUUAUAAUUAAUAGUAGUACUCUAUGUAUUUGAUGUUAAAAAAAUAUAUCUGUGUGGCUUUAUAUGAUUUAUUUAUAUUAAGAUUGUACUAUUCUAAGAUAUGCAACAUGCAUAAACAAAAGAAAAUAUUAUAUUAAAUUAAUUAUGAUUACGAGUUAUUUAAAGUUAAAGAACGUUAUAAAAUAGUAUGGUAUAUUAAUAUUUAUUUUAUCUAUGUAGUAAAGUAAUAUAUAUAUUCAUGUAAUUUUAUUAAAUAAAUGAACGUUUGAUAAUGUUAUCUACCGGAUAGAUGAAUUUUAUACAUAAGUAAUUAUGUAAGAUGAAUUGUAGAAGUUUAAGGUCCUGCGUAAGAAUAUAAACGAUGUGGUGCAAAUGUUAUGAUGUGGCAUGUGAGGUGUCAUUCAAUUGAGUUGGGAGUCUUUUUAAUAUAUUAUAAAUAGAUUAGUAUUAUCAUUAACCGACUAAAUAUAGACGCAUGGUAGAGAGGAAGAAAUUUGAAAUUAAUAUUGGAUUGUGAGAAGGGUAGAAAUGAUAAGCAAGCUAACAAUUCAACAUGAACUAUAACUAAAAAAUGUGGUUGUCCGUUCAAAUUCAGGUCAAGACAAAUGAAGGAUGGAUAGUUAGUGUGAUUUGUGUCUGAAAGUUAAUUGCAUAAGGUGUGGGAAAAUGGUUAUAAGAAGAAAAAAAUAUUGACAAUUUAAACGGUCACAAUUCAGAAUUGGAGGAGGCACAAUAGUGCAAUGCAAUAAUAAAAGUUAUUAAACAAAAUAUAACGACAAAGUAAAUAUUGGAGUUUCAAUUUUAUUUUUAAUAUGACACUAAUUAUAUAGCAAAAUUAAUAGUGAGAUGACAUCAUCCUAGUUCGUGGGACUGUUUUAAUAAAAUAGUAUAUAAAAAAUAGAGUAUAAAUAUUUUAAAAGAUAACUAUAAAAUAAUUUAUAGAUCUCAUUAAAAAUGAGCUAUUUUUUUAUUAAAGAUGCUAUGCAAUAUUAAAUUUGAGGAAAUUAAACAAUUGUAAAAAUAAAAAAUAUGGGAUAUAUAGACACUAAGCAUUUAUUUUUCUUCAUCCGAGAAAAUUUAAAGUGUUAUUUAUUACACUUAGAAAGGUAUAUGUUACACUAUUUGACUCUAUGUGUCUAAAGAUGGGUGAGACUAAGAAUUAUAAUUAUAAAUAGAAUUAAACUUCAAAGAUGUAAACUAAAAAAAUAUAAAAUUUCUCACACGUUUUAUUUAUCUAAAAACACGUAAAAUGAACAUACAAAGAAUCACAAAUUAGAUGCAAUCAAUUACAAAAUUAUCGACAAUCAAUCUAACACUAAUUAUUAUAGAAAAGUUGCAUAGAGACCAAAGUGUAUAUGUCAUUGUCUUCUAAUUUCUAAAUAAACAUAAUUAAUAUAUGAUACAAAAUAAUUUUCAUAAAAUUUUGUCAUUUAUAUAUUUCUUGAGAAGCGUUUAAAAGAACCAAUAUAUUAAUCGGAGUUAAAAUCAUAAAAAAAAUUGUUACCAAUAAUAAUGCAUGAGCAAUGGGUAAUAUUGAUUGUACUUUAAUUAGUAAUGCAUGUAACAUGAAUAGUAAUAAUAUUAGAUGCUAAAUAGUAAUAGUAAUAGUAAUAAUAAUAAUAAUAAUAAUAAUAAUAAUAAUAAUAAUAAUAAUGUGUGUUAAAGUAAAUUGAAAGUGGAAUAGUAAAGAGAAUGAAAGAGUAUCUCUGCUACAUCAGAUUUCUGUUGAAGAGAUAAUAUUUGAAUAAAAUUACACAAUAUUAAAUGAUAUAUCACAAUAAUAUAUGAGAAUAUAUUUUAAUAUAUUAUAAUAGAUACUAUUAAAAAAAAUUGGCAGAAAGAUUAACGUCUUCCUAUUUAAUUUUGUCGGGGAUUAAAAGUUUUUUUUUAUGAGAGACUAAUAUAUCCCACGUAUUUUAUGUGAAGGAACAAAAUUCACAUUCACAUACCACCAUCUUAUCUUUCCUAGACAUAGCUAGCUUUACAUCAUCAACAUAAAAUAAAUACAAAUUUUAAGACAUAAAAACAGUAAAUCAUUUUAUAACGAAAUCCAUCAUUAAAUUAUCCAUAUAUAUAUAUAAAGAUAUUAUUUUUGAAAUUUGAGAACGUGUAGUAGUAGUUUACUUAGGCAGUUGUUCAAUAGUCCCCCUCAAAAUUCAAUGCAUUACCUAAUUUUGUCUACUGAAUGUAUUUUAAGUGAAAUACAUUACUAAAAAUGUGAUUUCGAUAAUGUAUUUUACACCACGAACAAAAAUAAGAGUGAGAUGAGGUAUCACCUUUUUUUGAAUAUGCAAGUGCUAAUUCGUACUUGGAGAACAUGAAGUGGAGGAAGCACUCAGGGUCGGGCCAACAUAGACUUAAAGCGAAAUUAUUAUAUGGGGUUUUUUUAAAGUUCAUAAUUAAAUUAUUAAUAUUUUUAUUUAAAAAUUGAUCUUUCGUGCUUUUUUCGAUGCAAAAUCAUUUAUUAAAUUAUUAUAAUCAAUUUCCUUUAACAAUUCUUUUUCAAUCGAUAAUAAAGCUAAUCCAUUUAAUCUUUCUUGUAAUAUCGUUGAUCUUAAAUAAGAUUUAAUUAAUUUGAGUUUCGAAAAACUUCUUUCUGCUGAAACGACAGUUACAGGAAUUGUUAACAUUAUUCUAUAAGCAAUAUAUGCAUUUGGAAAAGAAUAUAAUUGUCUUAUAUAAUUAAGUAUGUCAAUCGAUGUAUAAUUUUUUACUUGUAUUAUCUUUCUUAAAAUUUUAAGUUCUACAAAUAAAUCUAAUUCAUCAAUGUCUGAGUUGUCCUUAUAUUUUAAAGAAAAUUCAAGGUUAAUGCAAUUUUCUUUUAAUUUCUCAUUAUCAAAUGAUUUUAAUUUCUCAAUACUAAAUAGAAAACCAAAAAUAUUUGCAUACAAUUUAAAUUGUUUAAAUCUACUUUGAAAUGAAGUAAUUGAUCUAUCAAUUAUUUAUAGGAAAUAAUCAAUUUUAAAAGACUCUUCAGAAGAUUGUACAAUGUCAUUAUCAACACUUUCAUCAAAUUGUUUCUUUCUACGAAUAAUACGUUUUUCUCGAAACUUAGGUUCUAUGUCUAUUUCGAUAGAAAUUUCUUUGGCAUAAAUCAUGGCAUUUUUCAAAUCCAUUUUCUCUAUAAUUUUCAAAAAAUGAAAUAAGACAUUUCAACUAUUCUAUAGCAACAUCAAUACGCAUAUCUUUUGAUUGAAAUUUUUUACUAAUUGAGUUUACAGCAAAUAAAAUAUCAUACUAAAUAGUCAUGCUUAGCAAAAAUUCAAAAUUUUCAAGCUCAUAAGUUGCUAAACAAUCAACUUCACUUUUUAUUUUAGGAUCAUCAUUAACUUCACCUAAUUUUAAUAAAGCAUCUCUUAUCUGAGGAGUUUGAAAACGCAAAGCUUUCACACUUUCAAUGCGACUUUCCCAACUUGUUUGUGACAAUGAUUUUAGAGUUAAACUAGGGAUAUGAUCUUGCAAAAAAAUUCAUCUUUUAGUUGAAGAAGAAAAUAGUGUGUAUAUACGUUGUACUACUCCAAAAAAAAAGAUGUAGCUUUAGAACAACAAUUAGCCAUAUCACAAAGUACUAAAUUUAGACUAUGGCAACCACAAGGAGUGUAAAAUGAUAUAGGAUUAAUAUCUAUAAACCUUUUUUGCACACCUUGAUGUUUCUCUUUCAUAUUUGAUCCAUUAUCAUAACCUUGUCCUCUUAAACUACUAAUAUCAAGUCCAAUAUUAUUUAUUUCAUUUGUAAUUGUAUCAAAGAGACCUUUUCCAGAUGUAUCAUCUACAGUUAAAAAUUCUAAAAAAAAUUCAGAGAUUUGUAUCGGAGUCGAUGAAAGAUCCACACAUCGUAGCACAAAAGACAUUUGCUCUUGAUGACUUAAAUCCGGAGUAUAAUCAAGUAUGAUUGAAAAAUAUUUUGCAUCAACAAUUUUUUUUUUUAAUUUUUUUUUUAUUUCAUUUGCUAGCAAGGUUAUCAAUUCAUUUUGUAUUCUAUGUCCAAGGUAGUGGUUAUGAAUUUCUUUGUCUUUAACUCGACGAACAUGUUCUUGCAUUAUAGGAUCAAAUUCUGCAAUCAUUUCAAUUAGACUUAAAAAAUUUCCAUUAUUUUCUUGAUAUAACUUUUCAUUUGUUCCACUAAGUUGUUUCUUCCAAGAAUUUUAACUAUAGCAAUAAUUCUAAAUAAUACAUUUCUCCAAUGUUAUUUAUCCCUAUUUAUUUGUUUUUAAACAUCUUUGUCAAUUGUUUUCCCUUUUGACAAUCUUAAAUCUAAAUCCAUCCAAUAACUCAUGUUAGCAAUGUGUUUACUACUUGUCUCAUGAUUUCUCAAUUUAUAACUAAUAUUUCUCCAAUCUCUACUACCUUCAUUAGCCAAUUUAUUUGUACUAGGAAGAACAUUAAAUAAUUUGCAAGAAAAACAAAAAGCUUUAUCCAAGCCUUUAGAAUAAACUAACCAUCUUCUUUCCUUGUUGGGUAACUUUUGAAUGUAAAGGGACGAAGAAAAGUGUCUUGAAUAUUCAUCCUUAGAAAAAUCUAUAUCAAUAAUUUUAACAGGACCUUUUUCUACCAAUAAAUCUUUCAAACUUGUAUCAAUAUUUGUCCAUUGACUUGGAUCAUAUAUGUUUUUGGAAUGGAUUCGUCUAAUUCAUUGACUUCUUGAUUACAAACAAAUUCUAAUUCCAUAUUUCCAUUUAUUUCUACAACGUUAUCCUGCUCAUUCAACGAGCAAUUACCAACAUUUUCAAUUUUAGUUUUUUUUUGUUGUUUUGAUAAAUUUAUCUAUAGCUCCCUUUUGCGAUUCAAUAAAAGCUUCAAUUAUUUUCUUUUUUUGUAAUUUUGCAUAGCCUGAUUCAUAUUUUUGAGUUGAUAUUUAUAUAUAUAAAAAAAUAGAAGCAACACAGAUUCAAGUUCAACAAACACAGAUUGAACAAGAUUAAAGAUAAUUAGAUAAAUAUUAUAACAAUAUAACCUGGUCGAUAAGAUACUGUUUGAAAUAAAAAAAUUCUUCUAGUUUAUGUUCCAACCAAAUAGAAAUGGUUGAUCCAACUACAAUUAAAAAAAAAUUAAUAAUUUAGAAUAUAAAUAUUUACUUAAUACUUAAGAGAUGAAAAAUAGACGAAUAAAUUAAAAAUACAUACCUGAUUAUAUAAUGGCCAAUCACACAAUGAAAGUUCAAAAUCAAAAAUAAAAUCAAAUCCAGGAAUGAGGAAGUAUGAUGAAAGGUGAAAAAAAACUUUUGUAAUGUUGAAUAGCAAAAUUUCAAAUAAAUCUUUCAAUGUGAAUAUGAUAUUUUAAGAAACACUUUUAGUGAAAAACAACGGUUUGCCUUUAAUAUAAGAUGCUUUUCUUUUUAGUGAAAAGGAAUGCAUUUAAGAUCAAAAGAUUCCUCCAAUGGUAUACUAUCCUCGUUAUCAUAAAUAGUAACAUCGAUUUUAAUUGACUAAUAAUAAAUAAACAUAUUUUAAUUGACUAAUAAUAAAUAAACACAUAUCAAUUCAAACGAUUAUUAUGCCAAAAAUUAGAAAUUAAAAAAAAUUGGACCUCUAUACCUAUAAAAAUUAAAAUAAAAAAAAAUUAUUUUUUGGCGAAACUUAAAGCAAGGGUUUUACGUGCCUCUCCCUUGUGCCGACUCUGGAAGGACUGUGUAUAUUGACUUGUCAUCUUUAUACAUUGAAUGGACAUAGGUUGGGUGGGUUAAUUUGAAUAAUUGUCUUUAUAAAAUGUUACUUUAAAUAAAGAAGAUGGAAAUUUAAUUUGUAUUCAAAAAAGGGAACACAGCACAAACAUAUUUUCGUAAAAAGGGUAUUUGUGUUUACCAGAUCAUGUCCCAUGUUUUUUUCAUCAUUUCCAAGACUACACGAGUGAAUUAAUAAUUAAGUAAUAUUUAAACAUUAUUGUUUGUUCAGAUGUCCACAUUUGCUAUUUGAUUAUCGCGUCCCGAGGCACUAUGGAGAUGAAAAUAUUGAAGCUACAAAUGUUAAUUUGUGAUGAACGUGCGUUUAUAUCAACUUUUGUUGUGGUUCCAGACGAAAGGUGUCACAAUGUAAAUUACUUCUAUCAAAUAACAAGAGUAGUUUAAAGGUUUUGUAUAUAUAUUUAGAAAUAUAAUAAUUAAAAAAAAUUAUAAGUGAUAUUUAAUUUGAGACAAUUUUUACUUUUAAAUUAAUAUUAUUUGUGAGACAAAAUGAGUAAGAAACACUAAUUAACGACAUCAAUUUUAUUCUUUUUUAGAUGUUUGAGAUUUCCCAGGACAAUUAUUUUUAAUUUCAAUGAAAAUUCUUAGAAAUUAUAUUACAUAUUAAGUUAUAAUUAAUGGUCUAAAAAUUAACUUAGACUUUGGUAGACAUUGAGUUACUGAAUCAUUGGUCAAAACUACGGAGUAAUUCAUUAAACUGCAUGAUUAAAUUUUAUUAAAUCGAAUGAACUCGAUCUUAUGACUGAGUCACUAAAAUGUUAUUUUUGUAUUGAAUCGAAUAACUUGCACUCGAAAAAAAAUCAAGACAAUAAUGAUAAAUUAGAAAUAACUUUUAUAAUAUACUCUCUCUUGUAUUAUAAAAAAAUGACUUAAAUCUUAAUCUAGACAAUUAUUUUUUAAUCUACUAUUCUUAAUAUAUCCUUCAUUUAUUUUAAAAUAUUUAAUAUUGAUAAUGGAAUGGAAUGUUUGUCAUUAAAAAGAGAAAUUUUAGUAAAUUUAUUUUAUUCUACAUAAAAUUUAAAAAAUUAAUUAUACUUAACUAUUUUUAUAAACGUUCGUGAUUUUUUUUUUAAUAAUAGUGACCAGAGGAAAUAUUAAUUAAUUAAUAUUGUUGGUUUUUAAAUAUAACAAACAAGGAGCAGAAUGCCUCACAUGUUCGACCACUGCUCUGCAACUUAUUACAGUUUUUUUAUAUAAACAAAAUUGCAAUUGAAGACACUAAGAGUAUCUCCAACAUUACGUAAUUGUGUUGUGUUCGUCCGCCCGGGUGUAAUAACGUAAAAUUUAGUUUUUUAUGAAUUCACCGUUGCAGUUAUGCCAAUGUGUUAUUACGGUACUGUGUGAACGAUACUUUAUUGCGGUUACCUUUUUUUUUAAUGAGUUCAUUGUUUGGAGAUGCUCUAAGUAUUUCUUUUUUUUAUUUGCAUCGGGAGGAAGCUUAGUAUUGACUUUGGCCUAGAGCAGACCAACGUUGUUAAACUCGAGUGUUAACUUGUAAACUCGUCUGAUUCUAUGAGUUCAGGUAUUGAUUGUGAGUCAACUCGAUUGUGGAAUCGAAAUAUAAUAAAUUCGUAAGUGGUAACAAGUUUAUACGAGUUAACUCGUUUCAAAUUUGAUAGAAUCGGGUGAUCUUUUUCAGUUUUGUUUACAUUUUAUAGUUUUCACUCACGUCUUGCAAUGAGAUACUAUUCACAAAAACAAGGAUUAUGACUUGUUUUGUUGGUUGCAUUUAAUAAACAAGGAUUAUAAAUGAACAAGGAUUAUGACUAUGCUCCACACACUUUUCUCUGAAUAGAAAAGAAGAAUAAAAUCCAAUCCAACACAAACCACUAAAUAUUUCCUCCUGUCAGCGUAAUACAUAACUCUUAAUUUUCCAACUUUAUAGGCUUAUUGCUUAUUUUGUAAACUGCAGAAACAUGAUAAUGAACUUAUUCAUAAUGAGAAACUAUAUAAACCAUGCAUUGUAUUGGACCCACGGUAGUUUUUCCUCCUUUCAGUUUUGUUUACAUUUUAUAGUUUUUAGUUUUUCGAUGUGUUCGUUGUUUGUGUUGAUCACUCUAUUGUUAUGCUUGUUUUCUUUAUAGUUUUUAAGUUAUUUUAUCACUCCAUUUUUGUUUACAUAGAUUGCUAAUUUACUAAUACAUGUCUACAUUCCUUCUUUUUAUUAGAUGGUUUAUAAUGAGAUUGGGGGUGGGUCUCAAAGCAACCCAGGUGUAUCCGUAACUACAUUUUUCAAAGGAAAAAGGAGGAAAAAUGCCCCUGGAAAUAGGACGGAUAUUGGGUGAAAAUAUGGGGCAGAUGUAUUGGGUGAUUCUAGAAAAGUUAAAUGAACCUUUUGCUCAAAAAUCAUUAGUGGAGGAAUUUACAUAUUCAAACUUCAUCUUGUAGGAACUAAAGAAGAUUCUGAACCAUGUACACAAUUGUCGGACGAUGUAAAAUUACUAAUGCUCAAAGUAGUCACUAAUGUUAAUGAUGCGUUAGUGAAGAAAAGAAGAAUGGCUGAAAUGUUUGAGGAUGAAGAAAUUGUGACAUUGAUAAAUAACUUUGAGUCUCGACAAACAAGAAAGGUUGUUACAAAUACUAAAGGAAAACUAGUAUUGUUGGGAUUCAAUCAACAAUUAACCAACUGCUUAAAAAACCCCAUAAAGGAGGAAGCUGAUGAUCAUGUUGCAGAUUUCUUCUACUCUAGUGUCAUUCCAUUUAAUUAUAUAAAAAACAGUCUUUGCAAAAAUAUGUGAGACAAUUGGAAAAUAUGGAAUUGGAUAUGAACCUCCUUCCCAUCAUGAUAUUGUAGGGANNNNNNNNNNNNNNNNNNNNNNNNNNNNNNNNNNNNNNNNNNNNNNNNNNNNNNNNNNNNNNNNNNNNNNNNNNNNNNNNNNNNNNNNNNNNNNNNNNNNNNNNNNNNNNAUUAUUGAAAAGAGCGGUAGAUAGAACCGACGCAAUGCUUCAAGACUUUAAAGCUGGGUGGAAAAGAACCGGUUGUUCCAUCGUGUCUGAUGGGUGGACAAAUAGUAAAAAAUGGUCGAAUCUAUUAAUAAUUUUUAAAGUAUCUAAAAAAAUACAUUUAAAAGUUGUACCUCUUCCAAUAACGAAUUAAAAGUAUCGAAUCUAUGACACAUAUACUUUAUGAGACUCGAAUAACUUUCUACUUGAUUCGUUUUUCUUUUUUAGUUUGUAUAUUUGCUCUUCAAAAAAGCUUAUUCUGUUAAAACAACUUACUACUUGAUUCACAAUAUUGUUAAAAUGAAUUAGCAUCAUUAUGUUUCUUUUAUUUUCUCUUUUGUAAUAUUUAUAGAACGAACCAAAGGUACCUUAAUUGAUAAACAAAGAGAGUGCAAAAUGAUAGAUAAACAAUCAUCAUCAAGAUGAGCUAUGAGACAAAGGAGAAGGACCCUGCUAAGUGUGUUAACCAUUAACUAUAAUAGAAACAGCUUGAUGAAUCAAACAAUAAGAACUGCUACAAUGAAGUCAAACAAUUAUCAGCAAGGUCCAUUGCAAGUUUGGCUGUCCAAAGCCACAAAAUCAUUGCACUAAGAGAUACAUGUCUACGUGGCUUGUUUUCUUUCUAAAUAACUUAUAUUUGAUAGGUAAUAUGAUAUUAUGACAUUUCAAACUAUAUUAAUACACCUGC